CUAGAGAGGGCACAUGUUCCUAAUUGGCCUAGAGCAUAGCGGCUCAUUAUCCUUCCACCGCUGGUGGUGGGCGGUACUCGCUGCUCUGUGAAGCCAGCCUCACGCAAUGUCCGCCACUUUAGGUGUUGGGAUGCAAAGGCUUUCGCAAAGGCACCUGAAACCCACUACACAACUUGGUAUGGGUGGUCCACAGUUUGUAGCACUAGACCCAGGCACAUGCACCAAAAUUAACAUCCACACUACCUUAUUGCCCCCGCUCGGGUUACAAGCAAUCGCUACUUGCUCAGCGAGUGAGGGGGUUCAGGACUGCCUAUUUAAGGUGUUGUUGUACUCUAUGCGCCGGCGGUGUGGUAUUUACCAACAACAAAUAGUGUCAUGCAUGAGAGUUGCUAGUUGGCAAAGUCUGUUGUCGAGCUAGCUGGGGGCUAUGCCAAAAGCACAUUAGGAUAGAAUAGUCCUAUUCUAUUUUUUGUUUUUUGGGCCAUUAUGGACUUUAUGUUGAUGUUGUACUAAUUUUCCAUGUGUUUCCUCUUGCCUAUGAAGUGGAAAGUGGGUGCGUUAGAGAAGAAAGAAAGAGUGGCUAGCAUUGAUUUUACAUCAUCCCCUUGAGAACAACAAUCAACAGCAGAAGCAACAAUAUUUCAUACAUAUACAACACUUACAAUCCAUAUAAACAACUUUCCUUCAAAAAAUAACAUAAACCACAUGAUUUAUAUACUGUGUCGGUCAUCUCCACAAAGGGCAAGGAAACACUCCUAGGUUUGUAGUAUAGAACUAAGAGUGUCUACUCUCACGAUGGUUUCCCAACAUAUGCAAACUAGACACUAAUCACAUAAAGUAAAUACAUAUGUGGUAACACAAGCUUAUAGCAUGUAUUUCAACCUAUAGAUUGUUGAUUAUUAUGGUAGAUUAUAUAAUAUAGGGGUUUCUGGAGAAAUACGUAAAAAACAAGAGAAUUAAAAUUUCCUUUUCAGAUUUGGCUAACUGGUAAAAGGAGUUGGAGUAUCUGAGUUUCCAAAUUUGGGACGUAGAUGUAUAGAUGGAAUAUAAAUACGUUAGAAAAAAAUUCUACAACGUAAGGUUUAACACAAGUAGGGCUAAAAAAAUAAAUGAGGCUUUGGUGGCAUGGUCAUAAAACUAGAGACAAGAAACACAAAGAAACCAAGGUAAUUAGUAUGAGAGUUUUCCAAAUUUGGUGUCAUGAUGUAGAAAAAAUAAAUAUAUGACAAACAUGUUUUUUGCAAGGCAUGGUAAAAUAAAUGGGAGUGAGAAAUAAAUUUAAUCCUAGAUUUAGAAGGAAUAAAUAUAUUACUAAAUACGUUUCACAAUGCCAAGUUAAGUAGGUGGGACCGAGAAAACAAUUCUAGCGAGGCUUGGUUGUACCAACCCGAACUAGAUACAAUAGAGGAAAAAUGAAGAAAAUGAUGGUCUACCAAAUAUGGCGCAUGAGCCUUAAGGUGGACCUAGAGGGAAGUAGAAGAAAUAAAUAUAUAACCGAAUAUGUUUUUCGCAAUGCGAGGUAAAGUGUUGAUGUGCUCUAACUGGGCUUAGAUUGCAGCGACAUGUUAUCCAUUGUAAGACCUCAAGAAUCCUAAUGUUAGAAUCUAGUAAAACUUCCUAAAGAAUUUGAAUUUGAAAUACCUUCUAGUAAUAAAUUUUCUUGCAUUAAAUUUACUUCUCCCAAAAUGAAUGUGUUGUCUAGUAAAAGAUAAAAUAAGAGGAACCUAAAUUAAUUAAGUCCUUCUUUACCAAUAUAUAUAUUUAAUUUAAAUUCUUCUAUAACAUAGGGAAUUCACUAGGAAGAACCUACCCUUGAAAAUACUAUUUUCUUUGUAUGUAUGAAUGGCAUAAAAAACACACACAUGCUUAUAUAGGAACAAUAAAUAUAUAAAUAAAUAAAAUAAUAAAAUAUUAUUGCACUACAUUCUGGUGUUUUGGCUUAGCAUUUGUCUCAAAUUAUAAACUUAGAUUUGAAUUCAACUUGGAUUUAAAACAAAAAGGAGGAAAGCAGGAAAUCGAAAAGAAAUAAGAAAAACAAAAUUUGCGCUGGGCCAAAUCCUGACCAUGGCUCGGCCCACCCAAGUCGCAUGGCCCGUUACCCCCCUCCGCCUUCUCCUUGUCUGCGGAAAUACAUUGAGUUGCUGAUAGCGGGGGCCCCCUGCUCAACCUCUCCUUCCUACCGCACUGGCCCACUUCUCCAAUGCAAAACACUGUCAAGUGGGUCCUGGUGUCCAGCGCCUACCUCCGCAUAUGGACAUAUGUGCCGCUGGCAUGGGGCCUAGGAUGUCAGCUUCAUCUUCCUAACAACCUAGGCCGCAGAUCGAGCGCGACCGCGCCCAAGUAGAUUCCUAUGCCCAACCUCGGAUCUUCCCCAUGGGCGUCCUCGCGAGGCUAUAUAUCUAUCCGCCGCGGCAUCCCCUUCACCCAUCCUUUGGUGCCAGCACCUGUACCCCAUGCCCCGUCGCUGGCGCAGGGAGCUUUGGAAUCCGCUGCAAGUCGUACUCACCUCCCCGUCGAAUCAACCUUGAUUCUUAGCCACGAGUGAAAGUCGAGGAACUCUGGGAUCUCGUGCACCGACCGGCCGAACCUGAAAUCAUUUUGUGCGCAAGGAAUUGCUCGUCGAAGCUCUGUCUCUGCCGCCAAGUCGCUUCUCACCGGGGACACCACUGCUAACGCCCAAAUUUGUGGUAAGAAACCAUCUCUGUUCCUCGUCGUCAUCCUCUUUAUGUGUAGAAUCCCUCGGUAUUCGAUAUGUGGUCCCCAGGCGGCCGACCCAUUGCUCGCCAGCGAGUGCGCCACCGCGGUGGUGCCCGGCGCCGCUGUACUCGGGUUCGAGGGAGAAGGGGUUUGUCGUGGACCGUUGAUCCCUAUAGGAGCGGUCGGGAUUAGAUUUUGGAUACCGCUUUAGGCGAUAGGAUCUGUGUCGUUAAUCUAAAGAGGGACACCUCAGAUUAGUUGUGGCGCGUACCCCUUUAGUGGUUAAAUCGGGACCCUCGAUCUUAUGGCGAGUGGUUCGGAUUAGCUUAUGGCGUGGUCACCGAUCGGACCGCGGAUCCUGAAUCCAAGGGCCCAAAAUAGAUAAUGGUUUGGUUGAAGGGUGCGUCUAAUCUGGGCCGCCAGUGUUCGAUCGGACGAUGGAAAUAUCGUGAUACAGAUCGACCCGUCUGUUUUGCAAAAGACCCCUCUGGGAUUUCAGAAAAUAACCCGUCGUCCGGGGCUGUGGAAGAGUCUUGCGGAUUAGUCCUGAACUUUACAAAUCAAACCCCGAGCUUCCUAGAAAUAGUAAUAGCAGUCCAGGAAACAUUAAAAUACCCAAGAUAAAUCUAGAAAAUAGUUUUCAAUGUAAGAAUAAGUAUAAAAUCUUAGGAAAAUCAUAACUUUAUGAAUAUGUCUCCAAAUUGACGCGUUCCAGUUGCAUUAGAUCCAUAAUAAUAUUGUUUAUCCCUUGGUAACUUUAUUUUGUUAUGAAACCUAAAUUGAAACUAUGUACUUAAUUUCUUUUGUACCUGACUCCUAAAUCUUUAGAAAAUCAUAACUUUAUAACCGUAACUCCGAAUUUAGUGGUUCUCGAGCCCACGAUCUCGUAGAAACAUGUAAAUUAUUAUUAUGCAGUUUGUUCUGAUGUUUGGUAUGAUGUUAAUUUUGCAUAUACCCUUUUUGUUGAAUUGCUACGAAUAACAGUGAGGUCACGAGAAUUUGAAGAUCAUCCUGGUACCUGGAAUCUCGAGUCCUAAGCAAAUUGUGCCCUUGAUCACUCUUUUUUACCUAAUAAUGUUCGCGUUAAUCACUGUGACAUGGUCAGGUUAAUUUGAUGGGACCUAAUAGGUUUACCUAACAUUAUUUAUCCCCACCUUGCAAACAGAUGAAUUAUUGGGUAGAGUAGCUAUUGCUCUACCUGGUUUUGGGAAACUAAUGUUUUAUUAUGAUCAUGUUCCAAUUUUGUUGUUAUUUAAUUAUUGUUCAUGAUAAGAUCAUAUUGUUAAUUGGAACAUGGAGCGACCACCCGGGAAAACAGUGCUACCACAAUGGUGGUAUGGGACGUGCUUGGCGGACUAAUUAGGAAGGUAUUGGAGGACUACCUUACCCGAAAGGGGCAAGGGCAGUAGGGGAGUGGUCGGUAUAGUGAGGUUAUCGGGCUGAUUUUGUUGCGAUGGAUUUUCAGACGGGGAUUCCUAUGCUUCGCUCGCUAGAAACUAUAGCAGGGUUUCUGAAGCUAGUGGAACUUUGUAAAGGCCUUGUAGUGGUACCCUGCCUUGCUUCCUUGGUAGAGGUGUAUGGGGUAUGAUCAACCCUGUGUCAAAUGGAUAACACGACUUCUGGGUAAAGAUGUGUAACCUCUACAGAGUGUAAAACUAGUAUAUCAGUCGUGCUCACGAUCAUGAGCAGCUCGGACCCUCACAUGAUUAACUUAUGGAAUUAAACUCAAUUUGUCAUUUGCAUUGCAUUGUGGGUGUUGUUAUUAAUCUUGAUCUCUUAUUUAAUUGGGUUGGUAUCUACUUACACUUAGUAGCUGCUAAUAAAAUUUUGACCGACUUUAAAAGCAAUGCCCAGCUUUAACCAUCCUCUUUGGUAAGCCUUACACUUCACAUGGGCUCCCACAUUUGGUUAGUUCAUGCACAUUAUUCCCCACAACUUGUUGAGCGAUAAACGUAUGUGAGCUCACCCUUGCUGUACUCACAUCCCCUAGGUCAAGAACAGGUACCACAGGAUGAGGCGCAUGGAGGAUGAUGUGAUGAGAUCGUGAGAGGUCUAGGCCGUCGUCUCCCAGUCAACUUUGGUUGCUGGAUCGUUGUUGACUGGAUCGUUGUCUUCAUAUGAUGUAAUUAUUUAACUAUUUUGUUUAGAACUUCUAUUAUAUAGUAAAGAUGUGACAUUCAUUUCUGUACCAUGAGUCAUCAUAUGUGUGAGACUUGGUCCUAGCACACUUGGUGAUUAUUUCAUGCCCGAGUUUUGGACCCCUAGAAUCCGGGUGUGACAUCCAUCCACAAGGCUUGGUUGCACACGGAAAAAGAUAGAGAGAGAAAUGUAGACGCAGGACUAGGAGAAAAAACAUUCAAUGAGGCGUGAUUGCACAAACAUAGAACUAGUUAAAGAAAAAUAAAGGGACUAAAUUUUCUUUUGCACACUUAGCAUGAAUGGAGUUGUAGUAUCUGAGAUCCCAAUUUUAAUUUUAUCCAAGAUGUAGAACAAAGUUGCGAGACUCAUCAUGGUUAUGUAGGGACAAAAGUAGAUAAGAAAAAUAGCAAAAAGAUAGUGGUCUACCAGAGAGGGUAUGUGUGCCCUAAUUGGCCUAGAGCUUAGUGGUUCAUUAUCCGUCCACCGCUGCUAGUUGACAAAGUUUGUUGUCGAGCUAGGUGGGCUAUGGUUGAAGCACAUUAGGAUAGAGUAGACCUAUUCUGUUUUUUUUGUUGUUUUUGGGACAUUAUAAACUUGAUGUUGUGAAUUUUUUUUCAUGUGUUUCCUCUUGCCUACGAAGUGGAAGGUGGGAGCGUUAGAGAAGAAAGAAAGAGUGGCCAGCAUUGAUUUUACAUCAUCCCCUUGAGAACACUAAUCAAAAGCAGAAGCAACAAUAUUUCAUACAUAUACAACACUUGUAAUCCAUAUAAACAACUUUCCUUCAAAAAAUAAUAUAAAGCACAUGAUUUAUAUCCUGUGUCGGUCAACUCCACAAAGGGCAAGAAAACACUCUUAGGUUUGUAGUAUAGAACUAAGAGUGUCUACUCUCACGAUUUCUUCCCAACAUUUGCAAACUACACAUUAAUCACAUAAAAUAAAGACAUAUGUGGUAACACGAACUUAUAUGAUGUACUUCAACCUAUAGAUUUUUUUAUUAUUAUGGCAGAUUAUAUAAUACAUGGGUGCCCGAGGAAAUACGUAAAAAGCAAGAGCAUUAGAUUUUCCUUUUCAGAUUUGGCUAACUGGAAAAAGGAGUUGGAGUAUCUGAGUUUCUAAAUUUGGCACGUAGAUGUAAAGAAGGAAUAUAAAUACGUUGGGAAAACAUUCUACAAGGCAAGGUUUAACACAAGUAGGGCUAAGAAAAAAUCAAUGAGGCUUUGGUCGCAUGGUCACAAAACUUGAGACAAGAAACAUGAAGAAACCAAGGUAAUUAGUAUGAGAGUUUUCCAAAUUUGGUGUAUUGAUGUAGAAAAAAUAAAUAUAUGACAAACAUGUUUUUCUACAAGGCAUUGUAAAAUAAGUGGGAGUGAGUAAUAAAUUUCAUCAUAGAUUUAGAAGGAAGAAAUAUAUCACUAAAUACGUUCUUUCAUAAUGCCAAGUUAAGCAGGUGGGGCCGAGAAAACAAUUCUUGCGAGGCUUGGUUGUACUAGCCCCAAACUAGAUACAACAGAGGAAAAAUGAAAAAAUGUUGGUCUACCAAAUAUGGCGCAUGAACCUUAAGGUGGACCUAGAGGAAAGUAGAAGAAAUAAAUAUAUAACUGAAUAUGUUUUUCGCAAUGCAAGGUAAAGUGUAGAUGCACUCUAACUAGGCUUAAAUUGCAGCGACACGUUAUCCAUCCACAAGGCUUGGUUGCAGAUAGAAAAAAGGUAAAGAGAAAAAUGUAGACGCGGGAUCGGUUGAAAAACAUUCAAUGAGGCGUGAUUGCACGGAAAUAGAACUAGAUAGAAGAAAAGAGUUAAAGAAAAUUGGAGAAAAACAUACUAAGCAUGAAUGGAGUUGUAGUAUCUGAGAAUAAAGGGACUAAAUUUUCUUUUGCACACUUACCAUGAAUGGAGCUGUAGUAUCUGAGAUCUGAAUUUUAAUUUAUUCCAAGAUGCAGAACAAAGUUGCGAGACUCGUAAUGGUUACAUAGGAACAAAAGUAGAUAAGAAAAAUAGCAAAAAGAUAGUGGUCUACCAGAGAGGGCACAUGUGCCCUAAUUGGCCUACAACAUAGCGGCUCAUUAUCCUUCCACCGUUGGUGGCGGGUGGUAUUCGCUGCUCUAUGAAGUCAGCCUCAUGCAAUGUCCGCCACUUUAGGUGUUGGGAUGCAAACGCUUUUGCCAAGGCACACGAAACCCACGACAGAACUUGGAAUAGGUGGUCCACAUUUUGUAGCACUAGACCCAGGCUCAUGCACCACAAUUGACAUCCACACUACUUUAUUGCCCCCUCUCAGGUUACAAGCAAUCGCUACUUGCUCAACGAGUGAGGGGGUUCAGGACUGCCUAUUUAAGGUUGUUUUGUACUCUAUGAGCCGGUGUUGUGGUAUUUACCAACAACAAAUAGUGUCAUGCAUGUGAGUUGCUAGCUGGCAAAGUCUGUAGUCGAGCUAGAUGUGAGCUAUGGCAAAAGCACAUUAGAAUAGAAUAGUCCAAUUCUAUUUUUUGUUGUUUUUGGGCCAUUAUGGACUUUAUGUUGAUGUUGUCUAACUUUUCAUGUGUUUCGUCUUGCCUAUGAAUUGGAAAGUGGGUGCGUCAGAGAAGAAACAAAGAGUGGCUAGCAUUGAUUUUAUGUCAUCCCCUUGACAACAGUAAUCAAAAGCAGAAGCAACAAUAUUUCAUACAUAUACAACACUUAUAAUCUAUAUAAACAACUUUCCUUCAAAAAAUAAUAUAAACCACAUGAUUUAUAUCUUGUGUCAGUCAUCUCCACAAAGGGAAAGGAAACACUCCUAGGUUUGUAGUAUAGAACUAAGAGUGUCUACUCUCACGAUUUUUUCCCAACAUAUCCAAACUAGAAUGUGUGGUACCAUGAACUUAUAUCAUGUAUUUCAACCUAUAGAUUGUUGAUUAUUAUGGUAGAUUAUAUAAUAUAGGGGUUCCUGGAGAAAUAUGUAAAAACAAGAGAAUUAAAAUUUCCUUUUCAGAUUUGGCUAACUGGUAAAAGGAGUUACCUGAGUUUCCAAAUUUGGGACGUAGAUUUAUAGAAGGAAUAUAAAUACGUUGGAAAAAAAUUCUACAACUUAAGGUUUAACACAAGUAGGGCUAAGAAAAAAUAAAUGAGCCUUUGGUCGCAUGGUCGUAAAACUAGAGACAAGAAACACAAAGAAACCAAGGUAAUUAGUAUGAGAGUUUUCCAAUGUAGUAAAAAUAAAUAUAUGAUAAACAUGUUUUUUUGCAAGGCAUGGUAAAAUAAGUGGGAGUGAGCAAUAAAUUUCAUCCUAGAUUUAGACAGAAUAAAUAUAUCACUAAAUAUGUUUCACAAUGCCAAGUUAAGUAGGUGGGACCGAGAAAACAAUUCUAGUGAGGCUUGGUUGUACCAGCCCAGAACUAGAUACAACAGAGGAAAAAUGAAAAAAUGAUGGUCUACCAAUUAUGGCGCAUGAGCCUUAAGGUAGACCUAGAGGGAACUAUAAGAAAUAAAUAUAUAACUGAAUAUGUUUUUCGCAAUGCAAGGUAAAGUGUUGAUGUGCUCUAACUGGGCUUAGAUUGCAACGGCAAGUUAUCCAUCCACAAGGUUUGGUUUCACAUGGAAAACAAUGGAGAGAGAAAUGUAGAUGCAGGACUAGGAGAAAAAACCUUCAAUGAGGCGUGAUUGCACAGACAUAGAACUAGAUAGAAGUAAAGAGUUAAAGAAAAAUAAAGGGACUAAAUUUUAUUUAGCACACUUAGCAUGAAUGGAGUUGUGGUAUCUGAUAUCCCAAAUUUAAUUUGUUCCAAGAUGCGGAAGAAAUUGCAAGACUCGUAAUGGUUACAUAGGGACAAAAGUAGAUAAGAAAAAAUAGCAAAAAGAUAGUGGUCUAUGAAAGAGGGCACUUGUGCCCUAAUUGGCCUAGAGCAUAGCGGCUCAUUAUCCUUCCAUCGCUGGUGGCGGGCGGUACUCGCUUCUCAGUGAAGCCAGCCUCACACAAUGUCCAUCAUGAUACGACCACGCCAUUAAGCAACAUGUUACAACCCCUAAGGCAUACUACAUCAACUCAAGUACAACCAAUAUCAUCACCAACCCAAGCCUUUGAUGGACCAAUUACACGUAGCCGAGCUAAGAAGCUACAGCAAGAGGUUCGCCAAAGAGGAAGGACAAAACAUAUCAAAGGCGAAUCAGCAAGAAGAGCUAUGUCUGAGUCAGUCUAGCGCUAUAGAACUGUCCAGAAGAAACAGUCAUAUCUUUUGAUUCCCAAAAGCUAUGAAGGCCCAUAAGUACUUUUUAGAAAGCUCUUGAAGUCUAGUUUCCUAUACUUCUAAGGCCGACUUAAUCAAAUCUACCAAGAAGGCAGCCGACCUACUUUAGUGCUGACUGGUCAGAAGGUCAACAGUCUGUUUGAUGACCAAGUUUCAUAUUAAACUGCAUCAUUCUACGAAGUUUCAUUAAGCAUGCUAUACAUGGUGAGAAAGCUUAUCAAGUCAGCUUUCCAACGCAUCCAGCCCCACUGCAUCAUUCUACGAAGUUUCAUGAAGCAUGCUAAACUGCAUCAUUCUAUGAAGUUUCAGUCCUUAGAGUCUUUGUUUAGUUGCUGGUCACUCUAUCCUUUGUGUUCCCUUUGAGCCUCUUAUAAAUAUCUAAAAAUAUCCACAAAAAGAAAAAUAUGAAAACCCUCAUCAUUUCCUUCGUGUUAACUUUGAUCCUAUAUAAGUUAUAGCUGCUGGUUGAGUUCUUUGUUAAGUAUUAUAAAGUGUGCAAUAUCAUAUGAGAUCUCUGUGUUUAGUUCUAUAAAAAGAGUAUCAAAAAAAGAGAAGAAAGAAAAGUACCAAAAAAGUGUUGAACAAGAUUGUGAAAAGUAGAACAAUCAGUUUGUUUAUGUGCACAAGUGCUGAAAGUUCAUCAAGUUGUUCAACCAGUUUGCUAUUGUCAUUUGAUGCAAAAUUUUGGUUGAAUCUGAUUGCAACACUUGCAUUCCAAUCAUACUCCUUGUCUGCAUCAAAUCUGAAAUUUCUUGCGCGUGUGUUUGAUCUAUUUACAUCACUCGUAUCUUGUGGUCAGCACUAAGCAGGGAACUUCUAGUUGGAUGGUUAUUUAACUUUACAACAACUAGGAUUCAGAUUGCAUCCCUUGUUUAUUAUUCCCCACCAAGCUCCACAUAUAAGCCAUCGUAAUCGGUACUCUGGUCUUGUAUUCGCUUAACCACCACUUUCUUGUUACUGCCACACAUUUUCUUGCAACCCGCAGCGAACUCAUAAGAGCCUUGGUUGGUAAGAGUGGUCAGGUUGUGAGAUUCUAUAUAGCUUCAUAUUCCACCUAUAUUUGUUGCCUUGUCGCCACUAAUUUCGCAGGAAGAUGGAUCCCAACGUUGAGAUUGAAGAAUGUGUCACCAUGAUACAAUUCAAUGAGCUCAAACAAAGCAUAGAAGCCAAGCAAGAUCUGUUGGCACAAGAUCUUCAGACACUUAUGGCUGAAAUCAGAGGUCGUCGUUGACUCAUUGACGGUGUAAGAAACCAUGAUGAAGAUGGGGAAGAAGGUGAAGGAAAUUAUUCUAGAAGGGCAAGUGAACAUGGGAGGAGAAAUCAAGGUGCUGCACGUGGUAGAGGAAGAGGUCAGAAUCGAAGAAAUGAUGACAAUGAGGAAUCUGAAUUUGGGAAUGAUGAUGAUCAGUCCCAACAUCGCUAUGGUCGUCGUCAUCAUAGAGGCGUCAACCAAGAAGAGAGAUUUGGGAAACUUAAGUUUACCAUGCCAAAAUUUGAUGGUAGAUCUGAUCCUGAAGAUUAUUUCACAUGGGAAUUGAAGGUGGAGAAAAUCUUCCGCCUACAUAAUUAUUCAGAGGAGAAGAAACUUGCAAUGGCAUCUCUUGAGUUUGAAGGAUAUGCCCUGAUUUGGUGGGAGCAACUUCUUCGUGAUCGUGGAGAUGGAGAGGACCCUAUUAUUACUUGGCAAGAGAUGAAGCGAGAAAUGAGAAUUCAUUUUAUGCCGAAGCAUUAUCGGAGUGAUCUUUUUGAUAAAUUGCAGAAUUUGAGGCAAGGAAGUUUCUCUGUUGAGGAGUAUUAUAAGGAGAUGGAGAAGGCCAUGAUUAGAGCCAAUGUGUAUGAAGACGAAGAGCAAACCAUUGCACGUUUCAUGGCUGGGUUACACCGCAACAUUCAGCGUAUUGUUGAGUUUCAGCCGUACCAAAGUCUUAUUGAUUUAGUACAUCAAGCCACCAAAGCUGAACGCCAGCUGCAACAAGAUGCUAAGAGCAGCAAGCCCUUGUCAUAUGGUGCACGAACCAUGACUGGAGGAAGCAAAUCGAUCUCAAGGUUUACUGCUGCAUCCUCAGCGACAAAAGGUUCAAUUGGAGGCUUGCGAUCCAAUAUUCAAGGCAAUUGUAGUGGAAAGAAUGGUGCUGCUCCAAACACGAGUUAUAAACCAGCAACAUCCACUUCAACAUCAGUGGGUUCAACAGCCAAGAGUAGUGGUAUUCAGUGCUUCAAGUGUGGAGGUCGUGGUCAUGUCAUAAAGGAGUGUCUAAAUAAUCGUGUGAUCCUUGUGACUGAUGAUGGAGAAUAUACAUCAGCUAGUGAAGAGGAAGCUGAAGCAGGAAAUGAAGAUGACAUUGAUAAAUCUGAAGAACAUACGUAAGUAAAGUAAGAAGUUUUCAUGGUCUUACUGGUUUUUAUAGAAGAUUUGUGUGAGAUUUCAGUACCAUCGCUUCUCCUUUAAAUGAAUUGACAAAGAAAGGUGUUGAAUUUAAAUGGGGAAACUCACAAGAAGAUGCUUUUCAAGAAUUGAAGAAACGUUUGACUGAAGCACCUGUACUUAUUCUUCCUGAUUUCACUAAAACUUUUGAAGUAGAAUGUGAUGCUAGUGGGAUUGGGAUAAAAGGAGUUUUAAUGCAACAAGGAAAACCUAUAGCAUAUUUUAGUGAAAAAUUGGGAGGUGCUCAAUUAAAUUAUUCUGUGUAUGACAAAGAAUUAUAUGCUUUGGUUCGAGCGCUUGAAACAUGAUAGCACUACUUAUGGCCAAAAGAGUUUGUUAUUCAUUCCGAUCAUGAAGCUUUGAAGUAUUUGAAAGGGCAAGCCAAACUGAACCGUCGCCAUGCCAAAUGGGUUGAGUUUAUCGAAACAUUUCCAUACAUUGUGAAAUAUAAGAAAGGUAAGGACAAUGUGGUCGCUGAUGCCUUGUCUCGAAGGAAUGUGUUGUUGAAUCAACUAGAGGUAAAAGUUUUGGGUCUUGAAAAUUUGAAAGAAAUGUAUAAUGAUGAUCCUGAAUUUUCAGAACCAUACAAUCAUUGUAAAGAUGGAAAAGGUUGGGAAAAAUAUCAUAUACAUGAUGGAUUUUUGUUUAGAGCUAACAAACUUUGUGUACCAAAUUCUUCGGUUAUAUUGCUUUUAUUGCAGGAGUCACAUGGAGGCGGUCUAACAGGUCAUUUUGGACAAAAGAAGACUUAUGAAUUGCUUAGUGAUCAUUUCUAUUGGCCCAAGAUGAGGAGAGACGUCAUCAUAUUUGUGGAGCGUUGUGUCACCUGUCACAAAGCUAAGUCAAAAUUGAACCCUCAUGGUUUAUAUACUCCUUUACCCGCUUCUAAAAUUCCUUGGGAAGACAUAAGCAUGGAUUUUGUUUUAGGACUGCCGAUGACUCGAAAAAAGAGAGAUUCUAUUUUUGUUGUGGUUGAUAGAUUUUAAAAAAUGGCUCAUUUUAUCCCAUGCAACAAGAGCGACGAUGCUUCACAUGUUGCCAAUUUGUUUUUCAGAGAAAUCUUGAGGCUACAUGGAGUGCCCAAGACCAUCGUAUCUGACCGUGAUGUGAAGUUUGUGAGCUAUUUUUGGAAAACAUUAUGGGCAAAGCUUGGGACUAAACUUUUGUUCUCUACAACAUGCCACCCCCAAACUUAUGGACAAACUGAAGUGGUGAAUCGUACAUUGUCAAAGCUGCUGCGAACAAUGGUAAAGAAGAACUUGAAGGAUUGGGAGGAAUGUUUGCGACACGUGGAGUUUGCUUAUAACAGAACAGUACAUUCUACAACUAAUUUAUGCCCCUUCGAAGUUGUAUAUGGGUUCAAACCUAUUGCUCCGAUAGAUUUGUUGCUCCUUCCAUUGCAGGAAAGAACCAAUAUGGAAGCUUCCGAGCGUGCUGCAUACAUAAAAAAGAUACAUGAGAAGACUAAGGAAGCAAUUGAGCUCAAAGCAGUGCGCAAGGCUACAAGCAUGAACAAGCAUAGGAAGAAAGUGUUAUUUGAACUGGGGGACUUGGUUUGGAUUCACUUGCGCAAGGAGCGUUUUCUUGAGCAGUGCAAAUCCAAAUUGAUGCCAUGGGGGGAUGGUCCAUUUCGUGUUCUUGCCAAAAUCAAUGAUAAUGCAUACAAGAUACAUCUUCCACCAAGCUAUGGCGUGAGCAACACAUUCAAUGUUGCUGACCUCUUACCAUAUACAAGUGAAGACACUUUAGAGUCGAGGACGACUCCUUUUCAAGGGGAGGAGGAUGAUACGACCACGCCAUUAAGCAACACGUUACAACCCCCAAGGCAUACUACAUCAACUCAAGUACAACCAACAUCAUCAUCAACCCAAGUCUUUGAUGGACCAAUUACACGUAGCCAAGCUAAGAAGGUACAACAAGAGGUUCACCAAAGAGGAAGGACAAAACAUAUCAAAGACAAAUCAACAAGAACAGCUAUGUCCGAGUCAGUCUAGCGCUACAGAACUAUCCAGAAGAAACAGUCAUAUCUUUUGAUUCCCAAAAGCUAUGAAGGCCCAUAAGUACUUUUUGGAAAGCUCUUGAAGUCUAGCUUCCAAUGCUUCUAAGGCCGACUUAAUCAAAUAUACCAGGAAGGCAGCCGACCUACUUUAGUGCUGACUGGUCAGAAGGUCAACACUCUGUUUGAUGACCAAGUUUUCGUAUUAAACUGCAUCAUUCUACGAAGUUUCAUUAAGCAUGCUAUACAUGGUGAGAAAGCUUAUCAAGUCAGCUUUCCAACGCAUCCAGCCCCACGUCAUUUGAAGAUUCCUAGAAGAAGUUAUUGUCAAAAUACAUUAGCACGUGAAAAUACUUUUGUUUCGUGUUUAUACCUUGCUAAGGCUGGUUGUUACUAGUAUAAAUACCCCCCUAUGUCUAUGAUGUAAGGCAGCUUUUGAUAAUCUAAAACAGAACCCCCUUUGUUCAGCUGUGUGCUAACAAAUAUUGAGAGUGAUCUCUAUCCCUUUGCUCUUGUGAAUUCCUUCGCGGGAUUGCAGAAGCGGCGGCUUCAUCCGCUCUCAAGUGGUGCUCCUACUCCCUUCGAGGUCUCCUCGAUUGAUUGUAGGUUGUGUUGGUUGGUUCUUUGAGAGUGUGGUUGGGCGAAUCCUCGAUUCAGGCUGCCGGUUAAAGACGGCGGUUGGCUUCGAGUUUUAUUUGUCAGGUUGCACUAGUUAUCGCUGCUUGCAGCAAGUUAUCUUGGCUUCUUUGAAGCUAGUUAUCUGAAGAUUGAUCCUACGUCGUGAAGAUCGGGCAUCGUGACGCAUCACACCACUUUAGGUGUUGGGAUGCAAAGGCUUUCGCCAAGGCACCCGAAAGCCACUACACAACUUUGAAUGGGUGGUCCACAGUUUGUAGGACUAGACCCAGGCACAUGCUCCACAAUUGACAUCCACACUAUCUGAUUGCCCCUGCUCGUGUUACAAGCAUUCGCUACUUGCUCAGCGAGUGAGGGGGUUAAAGACUCCCUAUUUAAGGUGGUGUUGUACUCUAUGAGCCGGCGAUGUGGUAUUUACCAACAACAAAUAGUGUCAUGCAUGCGAGUUGCUAGUUGGCAAAGUCUGUUGUUGAGCUAGCUGUGGGCUAGGGCUGAAGCACAUGAGGACAGAGUAGGCCUAUUACCAAAGAAAUAAUAAAAAACUAGAGAAUUAAAGUGGCAUUUUCAUUUGGUAAACUCAUAAAAGGAGUAGGAGUAUCAUAUGUUCCAAAUUUGGGUCGUAGAUGUAGAGUAGGAAUAUCAAUAUGUUGGAAUAAAAUUUCUAUAAGGCAAGGUUUAACACAAGUAGGGCUAAUAAAAAAUCAAUGAGGCUUUGGUCGCAUGGUCACAAAACUAGAGACAAGAAACAUGAAGAAACCAAGGUAAUUAAAAUUUAUAUUGUAGGCUCGGCUAAUGAUAUCAAAACAAUGGAGUCGGAGAAUAAGAGUUUCUAAAUUUGGUGUCUUGAUGUAGAAGAAAAAAUAUAUGACAAACAUUUUUUGCAAGGCACGGUAAAGUAGGUGGGAGUGAGCUAUGAAUUUCAUCCUAGAUUUAGAAAUAUAUAUUUCACUGAAUACGUUUUUUCGCAAUGCCAAGUUAAGCAAGUUGGACCGAGAAAACAAUUCCAGCAAGGCUUUUUGUACCUGCCCAAAACUAGAUACAACAGAGGAAAAAGGAAAAAAAGAUGGUCUACCAAAUAUGGCGCAUGAGCCUUAAGGUGGACCUAUAGCGAAGGAGAAGAAAUAAUAUAUAAUCGAAUAUGUUUUUGAAAGGGAAAUGAGCCCUUGGGCCAUUUCUAUGUUUAUUUGGUGAUUAGAUGCUCAACACACUGCUAUGGACUAACAACUCCACAUAUGAGCAUGAGUACAGGUAUUUGAAAGGCAAAUUGAGAAAUAUAGGAUUAUAUUGCAAAUCCUAUUGCAUUGAAGGAACAAAGGUAUGAUUCUAGCACUUAGCAAAUUGUUUUAGUUGUUAAUUAUGUUCAUCUAAGUGCUAGGAAACUUCUCAAGUUGAACCAAUUUGGAGGUAUAGUGUUUGGCUAAGUGAUUCUAGCAUUAUUAAGAUGAUUGAUGAUCAAUAAACACAAGACAAAAUAAUUGAAGAACUCAACAUGUACCAAGAUCAACAAGGGACAUUUGUACAUGAAAUUGUCGUAAGGCAAAGGAGAAAUAAGAACUUUAAUCCAGGUGUUUCUAUUUUGAAUACUUGGUUUUAGAAUUCAAUUUGUUUCUUGCCUCUCACAAUUAUGUAAUUAUUAACUUGUUUAUGCAGCGAAGUGGUGGCUAAACCAUGGCACAAUGAGAGCACCUAGAGGGGGUGAAUAGGUGAUCUUGCAAAAAUCAACUCUAAACAACACAAACUUGGUUUAUAAUGAGUGUUAGUGAAAACUAAAACCAAGUUGUUAUGUGUAGAGAUGGAGAGAGAGAGAGAGGAUCACUUCACUUGAUUGCUCCUUUUAAAUGUGUAUCAAACUUAGCAGCAAUAAUACAAGUGAUUAUGAGAAUUCAAGAAGACAACAAUCGUGAUAAAGUAAAUGCAUAAGAGACACGACAAUUUUAUCUCGUGGUUCGACCAAUGACUACUCCACGUUGUGGUGACCUCCUUCGGUCAAGGAUUGCACUCAACCCCUCUCAAGUGAUCCAAAGAUCAAACUUGAGUACCACGAUUUUAUUCCUUAUAUCAAAUCCCCUUUGCGAGGAAUCUCCACAAGUUGGAGUCUCUCACACCUUACACAAAUGAUCUUAAUCAAAGCACAAGAGUAAGGGGGGUACCAACACACACAAGAGCACAAGUGCAGCAACACCACACGCACAAGCAAAGAAGAGAGCGCAAGAAUCAAAACGACAGAGUUUCUCUCAAGACAACGCUUAGUUCUCUCUAGAAUAAGUCGAAAGUGUGGUUGUGUUGAAUCGGAGUAUCAGUGUGCUCUUGGUAUUCUUGGGAACAGCUCCAUACGCCUAGGGGUCCUUUUAUAUCCCCAAGGGCCAAAGGAGUCGUUGCUUCUUCGUUUUGAAGGCCCUGGUUGCCUUCUGUCCGGGUGUGUACCAGAGAGUCCAGUGCACACCGGACACUGCACCGUGCGCGAUUCACUUCCAUAAACAGUUGAGCCGAUCGUUGAGAGCCGUUGCUACCUUCGGUCAGUUGGCACAUCGGACAGUCCGGUGGCACACCAGAAAUUCGAUGUGGCCUGUUGACCAUUGGCCCAGCAGAUGUGGCCACCACGUGGCCAACGCUGAUUGCGCGCCGACUGUUGGCACAGGCGAGAGCCGUUGGCCACCUGGCUCACCGAACAGUUCGUUGCACACCAGAUAGUCCGGUGAAUUAUAGCUAGGGCACCCAACCAAUUUCCUGAGAGUGGCCAGUUCGGCCACUGUGCCGUCUAACACACCAGACACUGUCCGGUGCACACAUGACAGUCCGGUGCUAUCCAAUAAUGUUCACGUUAAUCACUGUGACAUGCUCAGGUUAAUUUGAUGGGACCUAAUAGGUUUACCUAGCAUUGUUUAUCCCCCACCUUGCAAAUAGACGAAUUAUUAGGUAGAUUGGCUAUUGCUCUACCUGGUUUUGGGAAACUAAUGCUUUAUUAUGAUCAUGUUCCAAUUCUGUUGUUAUUUAAUUAUUGCUCAUGAUAAGAUCAUAUUGUUAAUUGUACAUGGAGCGACCACCCGGGAAAAUAGUGCUACCACAAGGGUGGUAUGGGACGCCCUUGGCGGACUAAUUAGGAAAGCUAGUGGAGGACUACCUUACCCGAAAGGGAAAAGGGCAGUAGGGGAGUGGUCGGUAUAGGGAGGUUCUCGGGCUGAUUUUGUUGCGAUGGCUUUUCAGACGGGGGAUUCCUAUGCUGCGCUCCCUAGAAACUGUAGCGGGGUUUCUGAAGCUAGUGAAACUUUGUAAAGGCCUCGUAGUGGUACCCUGCCUCGCUUCCUUGGUAGAGGUGUAUGGGGUCUGAUCAACCAAGUGGCAAAUGGGUAACACGACUUAUGGGUAAAGAUGUGCAACCUCUGCAGAGUGUAAAACUGGUAUAUCAGUCGUGCUCACGAUCAUGAGCAGCUCGGACCCUCACAUGAUUAACUUAUGGAAUUAAACUCAAUUUGUCAUUUGUGUGGCGGAACUGCCCGAAUUAUUCCAACUUAAGUGCCUAAGUCCCGCCUUAGAGGCUAGACCACACUUAAAUGGGAAUAACCCGUCAAUCCCUCGGAUCUAGUCCGACGAGGCCACUAACAGGAUCAAGUACCACAAUCUCACUCGAUGGUGAGUCACAUAGCAAAUACAAUAAAGCAUAAAACCAUACAUUAAAGAGUGUUAGACUUAUUACAUCAUUAUUGGAGUUUUAGCAAAAGUAGUCAUCAUUGUUCGAAGUGCAGCGGAAUAAAACUAACGAUAAUUAAACAGAGAGAUGGGGAAGCCUGUCCCAUCACUCCUCAUGCUCCUCCUCAGCCGAGGCGGGGUCCCACUCGACAGUCCAACCCGGUGGCAAGAUGGACGGCCAAGUCACUCUAGCAGCCAUGUCCUCCAAGGAACCUGUAAAAUUAUGCCACAAGCAAGGCUGAGUAUACUAAUACUCAGCUAGACUUACCCGGUGUGAGGAGUCUACUCCUCUACCUCUAGACAUGCAGCUGUUUGGCUGUGGGGUUUGGUUGCCAAAAGCACUAGCUGAGUCUAAAAUUCAAGUUUUAGCUUUGUCAAGUUUAAGUGUGACUCUCUUAAGACUAAAUGUAUACCUAUCUAAUCAUACAUGGUAUCAAACAUUUAGCAAUCAACAACUUUUGCCAAGUCAUCUCAUUUCCACUUGUUACUCAAUGUAGCAGCAUGGAUCAAGCAGUCUCAUUAGCUGCGAGAAGCAGAUGAUUCGAAUCGAGUUUUAUCCUUGCAAGGUAAACCUAAACACACGACGUGGCGAGGCACUCCGUCCCCACACACAUCAACCGUCCCCAUCGAUUCCCCGUCAGCAGAUCAGGGCUCACCGCCUUGGCGUACAAUGCCUCACUGACCCCGAUUGUCGUCGUGCAGUGACCGCACUUGUACCCACCAUAACCGGAAUAGGAGACCACGUCUUAGGUCGCGUGAGGGGAAAUGUCCACUGCCAGGUUCACUCAGGUACUAGGCUUACCGAUUUACCAUAUUUCUCGGCAUGUGCUUAGUACGUUCAAACGCUUGACACACGGUACCACACCUUAAUCCUUAUUCCAAUUUCCACCUCGUAGACAACCAAUCCCCAUGGAUUGUUGUUCACAGGCCAACAUCAUUAUGCUAUGAAAGUGGAUACAACCAAGUCCUGACCUCGCGCGAGUGCUAGAAAAAUCACUCGACUUCUACCGAAAUCCCUAAUUAAUAAAGCAGCUACUCGGCUUAGCAUACUAGUAUUCAUCUCAAUGGGAUUCCUGAGAUCAUGCAACUAGGGUUUUAAACAACUCCUACACUUAAGUGCACAUUCAAUCCUACAAUCAUUAAGUGUAGUAAAAUAGCAUAAUAAAUAGGUUAUGCAUAAACCGGGGCUUGCCUUCCAAAGCUGGGGCAGGCAGAUCCUCUGGUGCAGGCUCUGGUGUUGGAUCCGGGGCUACCUCCUGAGCAGCUCCUUGCUCCGGCACGAGGACAUACUCUCCGUCAGCGAGGUUGCAAUCUAUCGAAUGCAAUGAAUAGGAAUAUGUAUGUCAUGAUUAUGCAGGAUUUAACAAACAUUAUGCUAAAUGAAGAAAAACUAAGUUAGUUAGUCACUUAGGUUUUUCUGGUCAUACGUGGCUCUUUAGUGGUUUAUGCUUAUCACUCUAGGUUUGGGUUUUGUUAGGGAUAAGCAUAGUGGAUUUGUAACUUGGAUUUCCCUUAGAUGUUUUAGUAGACUUUUUAAGGGAUUUUGCUGGUUGGGUUAGAAUGACAUUACUCUCAUUGUUAAUUUCCUCUUUCUUUUUCUAUUUAUGAAUUCUACGGUGGGUUUGAACUACAACAAUGAUUUAACCUAUUCCAAAAAUCCUUAAAAAUUUACAGUAGACUACUAUUGGCCCCUGUAGUCUGUCCAAGGAAUUUGAGGUCCAGAAUAAAUAGAGUAUGCUUUGGACAAAAAUAACAAAAGUUGGGCAAAGGGGGUCACUUUGCACUACAACUCUUAACUAGGGGUGGGUUCUGUCCUAAGGGUCAUUUUUGUUGGUAUCUAACAGUAAUCACAAGUUUCUGUGCCAAAAAUCACAGAAGGUUAUUUGGUGGUUAUUUAGUUGUGAUUUUCUAAAGUUUAAUGUCAAAAAGGCACUUUCUACUAUCUUGUUAUUUGAAAAAUGUCAAACAACAGAUUUCAUAUUUUUUCUAUAUUCUUAAUAACAAAACAUUAAUUAUCCCAAGGGUUGGGGUGUUUUCACCUUGGGGUUUUUUUUCUAGGGUUUUUCUAAGUUUUCCUUAUUUUCUUAAAAUAAAAGGUAUCCCAAUUAUUUUAUACUAAACCAGAGUAUAAUAAAUUUUUCUAGUGAACUAUACUGAAUAAGUAAACUAACAAAAAUGUGGGUGCUCACUGGUUCUUUAUUUAAAUUACCUUUUCUUAUUUCUUGAACUUUGAGCAUAAGGUGAUUUAAAUGGCAAACUCUACCUUAAUAGGGUAUACAGAGGGGUUUAUCAUUUUUAAACAGGUUAGUAGGUGAUUAAGUACUUCUCUAAAUUUUUUUAACCUCAGUCAAAUAGUAUAGCUAUUUUUCCCUAUUUCUUUUAGCUUUUGACCAGUUAAUUAUUUAAAUCAAAACUUUAAAGUUUUCUGUAACACUUAGGGGUUUCAUAUUUUUCUUAAGUAGUCUACAUUAUUUAAGAUCUGGCAAAAUUGGUUUGACUCGAUUUGGGUGAACAAAACAGAAGUUAUGAAUUUUUCAAGUUUUGUUUGAAUUUAAAUCAGAUUGUUAAAAAGGUUUCCUGGAAAAACAAUUUACACCGAGGACCCUGGGUUUAAUCCAAAUCAACCCACUCAAAUCUACCCCUGCGCCACUAUUCCCCUGAGUCACUGACAGUUCAAAAAUCCCCCCGACCUUUCCUUCUUCUUCCCCGAGGUCCUUCCCCUAAUGCAAACAGUACCCGCGGGAAAGAAAAGGGCGGCGCGGCUUACCGGCGGCGAGAGAGGUCCGACGAGGGGCGGGGUUGGCUCCGGGAGGUCCUGGCGGUCACAGCGGUGUACGGCUCAACGGCGAAGGUGGCCGGAAUCGUCCGGUCCACGAGCGCAGGCGGGUGAUCUCGUCGCGGCGGGUGUUCCGGCUGAACCACGGCGAUCUAGUUCAAUCAAAUGGCACGAUGAGCUCCACGGGGUGAUGUAGAGGCUAUGUGCACAAGGAAUCGAAGAAUGGGGUAGAGAUUUACCCGGUCUACGUUCACCGGCGGUCGGGCGAAGUCCGGCGACCGUGGACUGGCUUCUCCGGCGAAGCAAAGUCCGAUUCCUUGCUCAGGGAGCUUCACCGAGGCGUGCACAGUCUCUUCCAAGGGUCGGGCGUGGCUGGGAAAGGCUCUGUUGGCCGGUCUACGGUGGCAGGGGCUCGGGUGGCCGCGGGCACGCCGUGCGCGGGGCAAACGCCGGUGGUUUUGGGCUCUGGUGAGGUCGACCGUGCGCGGAGGAGUACGGUCGACGCCUGAGGGUGAUUUAUAGGUGCGGGCGCGAGCAGGAGACGCGGGCACGGCUUGGCGUGGCGCGGAGCGCGUGGGGUCGGGCGCGGGCGUGCUCUGGCGCGCCCAGAACGCGUCGAACACGUGGAGGUGUUCAUCUGCCCGUGUUCAAAAGCUUGCUGAGAUCGCAAACGUGUGAAUCUUGGCAAAAAUCCGGCGCAAACCUCUUCCUGGCACCUAUGGCUAUCUCUUUUAUGUGAGUUCCAAGGGAAGAUAAGCCCUAGGUCAGAAGAUAUGCGGACGCCAAAUCUGGCUUGUCUCCCUGCCCACUUCGCGACAAAAGUGAUGCCAAGACAUGUCAAAUGAGUUUGACUUGGGUUCAAAUUUUUCCAGGGGGUGCCUUAGGUGGUUUGGCACAUUUUUGGUAUUCAGACCAAGUGGUUUUGGUGCCAUUUACUAAGUGAACACGUCUGAUCUUUAGAUUAGGGUUAAAAAUUUGACUUAGAGAGAAUUAGAGAGCUCUAACUCUCUCUCUAUUUAAGGAAUGGAUUUGUGGUUUCUUAAGGGGUCUUUUUGCAAUGUUUCCUCUCUAUAUUUGUAGAUUAAGAUGUUACUUAACUUUGGCCAAAGGUUAGGUCAUGAUUUGCACAUUUGCUUAAUCUCCCCCCUUCAACCAAGGUUUUAGGAGAUAGGGGCUCAAGAGGGGUCUAGGGUUUAUUCCCCUCUUGCCCAAGGUGAUAAUUGUACAAAAGCUUGGGUAAUGCUUUUGGUCAUUCACAUUCUUGGGUAAAACAUGGUCUCCAAAGUUUUUAUGCUCUUCUCCUCAAGUUUCCUCCACAUGUGAUCACAGUCAUUAGUGCAUAGAUGUGCCAUGGCCAUAGUAAUACCUGGGGUGUUACAGCCCUCCCCCCUUAAAAGAAUCUCGCCCCGAUAUUUUAGGUAGAGUCCUCUUGAGGGGUGCCAUGAAGGUGGGUUAGUGCGUUGUUCCUUCUUUUAUUCAAGUUUCUCUAGUUAACUGCUCUUUGAAUGUCAUUCUCUUUGUGACUUCAGAAGGAAGUCCUUUUUAAGUCAAAUCCACAACUUAUACUACCCUUAUCAUUCUAAGUUUUUAUUAUAUUUGUGUUCAAAGGGCAGGUGGGGGUGGGGUUUUGGGUUACGUACCGACUCUUUUGGGCAGAAAGUCGGGGAAGCGAGAGCGUAGAAAAUCCUCAGUCUCCCAUGUAGCUUCUUCUACUGAAUGGUGACUCCACUGAACCUUAUACACUCUGAUCGACCUUGCCCGUGUUGACCACUCUUUCUGAUCCAAUACCUUGACAGGGUACUCUUGAUAGGACAAGUCUGGUUCUAUCUCAAUUUCUGGUUCAGGUAGCACUUCAAUGGGUAAGCGGACACAUUUUCGCAGCUGAGAUACAUGGAACACAUCAUGAAUAGCUGACAUGUGUGGUGGCAACUUCAAUUGAUAUGCUACUGGUCCACAAGUUUCCUUGAUCUCGUAGGGCCCAAUGUAGCGAGGAGCUAACUUGCCCUUGAUCCCAAAUCUCUGGACACCUUUGGUGGGUGACACCUUAAGAUAAACAUGAUCUCCCACUUCAAACUGUAGAGGUUUCCGCCUCUUAUCAUGAUAGCUCUUUUGCCUGGCCUGAGCAGCUUCUAAGUUCUUCUUGAUGACUCUGACCUUUUCCUCUGCUUCAAGUACCAAAUCUGGCCCAAAUAUUUCCCUCUCUCCUGCUUGAGACCAAUUCAGCGGGGUCCUACACCUUCUCCCAUACAAGGCUUCAAAAGGUGCCAUCUUUAGACUGGACUGGUAGCUGUUAUUAUAAGAAAACUCUGCCAAAGAAAGACACUUGUCCCAAUCCUUUCCAUAGUGUAGCACACAUGCCCUCAACAUGUCUUCCAAAAUCUGAUUUACCCUUUCGGUCUAGCCAUCUAUUUGAGGAUGGUAUGCUGAGCUUCGUAUUACAUGGGUCCCAAGUGAUUCCUGCAAUUGCUCCCAAAAUCGGGCCACGAAAGGUGCUCCUCUGUCCGAUACUAUAGUCCUUGGUAUUCCAUGCAAACGAACUAUUUGGUCGAUGUAGAUUUCUGCAUACUUCUCCGUCCUGUGGGUGGUGUGUACCGGCAAGAAAUGAGCUGACUUGGUCAAUCUGUCCACAAUGACCCAAAUGGAAUCAUGGUGCCGGGAGGUAUUGGGCAAUCCCAUGAUGAAAUCCAUGCAAAUGUCCUCCCAUUUCCAAGAUGGUAUGGGAAGGGGUUGCAAAGGGCCUGCUGCCUUCAAAUGACUGGCCUUGAUUCUCUGGUAGGUGUCACAUUCGGAUAUGUACUUAGCAAUUUCCCUCUUCAUUCUGGUCCACCAGUAUAAGGAUCUGAGAUCAUGAUACAUCUUGUUGCUGUCGGGGUGUAUGGAGAAUUUUGAAAGGUGAGCUUCAUCCAAUAUCUUCUUUCUGAGCUCAGGGACCUUGGGAACAACCAAUCGAUCUCCAAACUAGAGAAUUCCUUUGCAGUCCUGACGGAAGCAUUUGUAUUUUUCUGCUUUCUGCUUGAUCAUUUCCUUGAUAACCUGAACACCCUUGUCUUCAAUUUGUGCCCUGACUAUUUGCUCUUGUAAUGUGGGCUCCACCGAGAUAUAACUUAAGGCACCUGAAGAAACAACUUCUAGGUUUAGCUUGCACAACUCAUCACACAGGGUGGUAACUCUUGCUUCCAUGCUCAUACAAUUGCACUGGGCCUUUCUGCUCAAGGCAUCUGCCACAACGUUGGCUUUGCCAGGAUGGUAAUGCACCUCCAAGUCAUAGUCCUUGAUUAACUCUAACCAUCUUCUCUGCCUCAUAUUUAAACUGCCUGAGUGAAAAUGUAUUUAAGACUCUUAUGAUCAGUGUAAAUGUUACAGUGAGCUCCCAUCAAAUAAUGUCUCCAUAUCUUGAGAGCAUGAACCACAACUGCUAACUCCAGAUCAUGUGUGGGGUAGUUCUGCUCAUGGGGUCUAAGUGCUUGGGAGGCAUAAGCAAUUACUCUGUUGUCGGUGUUUCAACCCCGGGGGGUCCCUGGACCGACGAGUAAAUUGUCGCCGCGUGUCCUAGCCCAGAUGAGUCGGCGCGAGACGGAGCAUGAAGGGGGAAGAAACAGGCAAAGGGGAAACCCACGGCCUUCGUGUUGCCCUGCGCCCAGGUCGGGUGCGCUUGCAGUAGGGGGGUUACAAGCGUCCGCGAGGGAGAGAGAGAGACUGUCCGCCAACCUGUUCUCCCGUGCGGCCAACCUUCUCGUACGAGAGCCCUAGACCUUCCUUUUAUAGGCGUAAGGAGAGGGCCCAGGUGUACAAUGGGGGGUGUAGCAGUGUGCUAACGUGUCUAGCAGAGAGGAGCUAGAGCCCUAAGUACAUGCCGUCGUGGCAGUCGGAGAGGUUUUGGCACCCUGUUCAUAUGAUGUCGUGGCCGUCGAAGGAGCGCUUGGGCCCUGUGGAAGGACAGCUGUUGGGGCUGUCGGAUCCUUGCUGACGUCUCCUUGCUUCCGUAAGGGGUUGAGAACCGCCGUCGUCAUUGAGCAGGCGGGGCGCCAUCAUUACUUGUAUACCGGGGCGAGCCAGAUGGGACGCCGGUCUUGUUCCCCGUAGCCUGAGCUAGCUAGGGGUAGGGUAAUGAUGGCCCCCCCUGUGACGUGGUCGAUCCGAGCCUGAGGUCGGGCGAGGCGGAGGCUCCUCCGAGGUCGAGGUCGAGUCUGGGCCCUGGGUCGGGCGAGGCAGAGACCGUCUUCCGAGGACGAGGCUGAGUCCGAGCCCUGGGUCGGGCGAGGCGGAGACCGUCUUCCGAGGCCGAGGCUGAGUCCGAGCCCUGGGUUGGGCGAGGUGGAGUCCAUCUUCUGGGGUCGAGGCUGAGUCCGAGCCCUGGGUCGGGCGAGGCGGAGACCGUCUUCCACGGCCGAGGCUGAGUCCGAGCCCUGGGUCGGGCGAGGCGGAGUCUGUCUUCCGGGGUCGAGGCUGAUUUCGAGUCCUGGGUCGGGCGAGGCAGAGCUUCCCAUGGCGCCCGAGACUGGACUUAGCUGCUGUCAGCCUCACUCUGUCGAGUGGCACGGCAGUCACUUCGGCUCUGUCGACUGUGGCGCUGUUUUCCUGUCAGGUCGGUCAGUGGAGCGGCGAAGUGACUGCGGUCACUUUGGCUCUGUCGACUGAGGAGCGCGUGUUAGGAUAAGGUGUCAGUCGACCCUUGCAUUAAAUGCUCCUGCGAUACGGUCGGUUGGCGUGGCGAUCUGGCCAAGGUUGCUUCUCCGCGAAGACUGGGCCUCGGGCGAGUCGAAGGUGUGUCCGUCGCUUAAGGGGGCCCUCGGGCGAGACGUGAAUCCUCCGGGGUCGGCUGCCUUUGCCCGAGGCUGGGCUCGGGCGAGGCGAGAUCGUGUCCCUUGAGUGGACUGAGCCAUGACCUUAUUCGAGCCCAUCAGGCCUUUGCAGCUUUGUGCUGAUGGGGGUUACCAGCUGAGAUUAGGAGCCUUGGGGGUACCCCUAAUUAUGGUCCCCGACAGUAGCCCCCGAGCCUCGAAGGGAGUGUUGAUACUCGCUUGGAGGCUUUUGUCGCACUUUUUUGCAAGGGGAUCGGCCUUUCUCAGUUGCGUUUCGUUCCGGUGGGUGCGCGCGAGCGCACCCGCCGGGUGUAGCCCCCGAGGCCUCGGAGGAGUGGUUUGACUCCUUCGAGGUCUUAGCGCGUUUCAUGAUGCUUCGACCGGUCUGGUUGUUCCCUCAUGCGAACUAGCCGUAGCCCGGGUGCAUAGUCAGGUUCCAAGUUCUCGGGCUGGUAUGUUGACGCUGUCAACGGUUUGGCCGGAGCCGGGUUUGCGAGAGCAGCCCCCGAGCCUCCGCACAGAGCGAGAGGGCGGUCAAGGACAGACUCGGCUUUUUUCAUACGCCCCUGCGUCGCCUUUCCGCAAGGAGGAGGGGGGGAAAGCGCCAUGUUGCCCUCGGAGGGCACCGAACAUGGUGUCUCCAGUGAGUUGCUAGCGGGUGAUCCGAGUGGACGCCCGUGCCCCAUUCGAUAAGGGUCGGCUAGUGGCCCAGAGGCGCGCUCCAAAAGUACCUGCAGGUGAUUUGCCGGACCCGGUCCCGUUUGAUAGGGUCCGAGGGCUCGAUGCCUCCCUCUGAUGGGAUUCCGUUACAAAAUCGCUCCCGCUGGUCUCGGAAAUGUCCUAGGGUACCUCGGGAGCGUAGCCCGAGCCUUGGUUGUGUAUCGAACGUACCCAGAGUCAUCCCUCGCUCUGCGUGCUCUGAGGCGGCUGUCGAACCCUUCGGGGGCCAGCCUACAAACCCCUGAUCAGUAGUGGGCGCGGAGCCCGAGUGGCUUGAGGCGGCUGUCGAUCCCCUCCGAGGGGCCAGCCUUCGAACCUCUGACCAGUAGUGGGCACGGAGCCCGAGUGCUCUGAGGCGGCUAUCGAACCCUUCCGAGGGGCCAGCCUUCGAACCUCUGAUCAGUAGUAGGCGUGGAGCCUGAGUGCUCUAAGGUGGUUGCCGAACCCUUCCGAGGGGCCAGCCUUCGAACCUCUAAUCAGUAGGAGGGCUCGGGGCCCGCUUCCUUCGCAGAGAAGGAUCCCUUUCGGAGUAUCCCCUUUCCCGGUCCCUGUAGCAAGAGAGAGAAAGGGGAAGAGAAAAAGGGAUAUGAAUUUGAACGACGUGGCGUACCUUUUUGAUGCGGUCAUCAUGGCGGAGGUGAAGCGUCGCCUGCUUCACCUGCCAAAGGUGUCGCCUGUCCUGCCACAGAGUUAAUGCGACGGGACGAGUGGUUCGCGGGGCAGCCGUUGUGCGUGCACGAGCCGUUCGAGGAACGGGCGUCUCGCCUUUGAGCUUUGAAUCUCGCGGCGGGUUCGGGCGAAGUGUUGAAUGGGUCUUGCCUGGGCCUCGUCCGCACCGCCGCCACCUCUUCUGCUUGGUGAUGGCCGACCGGGUGACCGUUGUUUUGCCGCGCGACCCGUGGCCUUUUUCCACCGUCACGGCGGACGAUCUGGAGGCCCUUGUUGCCGAUGGCUUGCUUCGUCCUCUCUCCGGUGACUCGCAGCUAGAGUGGAUGGCCCCUCCGAGCGGAGCCGCCCCGUCCCCGCCGCCGGGGUAUGUGCUGAGCUUCGUCUCUUUUCAUGAGCGGGGGUUCGGAGUGCCGGCGAGUCGUUUCAUGCGGGCGAUUUUGCAUGUCUAUGGGGUGGAGCUGCACAAUCUCAGCCCCAACUCCAUCGCGCAAGCAGCCAUCUUCGCGGCGGUUUGCGAAGGGUUUUUGGGGAUUGCCCCCCACCGGGACCUGUGGACCCAUCUCUUCUCCGCGGAGCUUUUUGCCUCGACGACGGGGGAAAGAAGAGUUCGCAUGGCGGUGCGGGCUGGUGGCUGCAUCCUCCAGUUAAGGCAGGCAUGGGUGCAGCAGUACAUCCCUGCUAUCCUCGCGUCUUCGAACAAGGGGUGGCAGCGUCGGUGGUUUUAUCUCCGGAAUGACGACGGGAGGCUCCCGUCGUUUUCUCAACGAGCGGUGACCGCCGCCGGCGGUAACUGGCGCUACGGGGCCCCGUGCGAGAAACAGAAGAAUCUCCAGCCCCUUUCGAAGGCCUUGGAGGAGCUGCGAGAAGGAGGGCUCACCGCCGCGGGGGUGGUUGCUGCCAUUCAUCGCCGGAGGGUGCUCCCCUUGACGGAGCGGCGGCUGCCGCUUUGGGAGAUGACACCGGGGGUCGACUUGGAGGGUUUGCAGAUGUCCUCGGACCCCCUUCCCGCCGAUGACCUUCACAGGCGGGUAGCUGGCACGGUAGGGAAGUUAGACGCCGGCGCCCUUUCUCAGCUCCCGAUGCGUCCCGAUCGCGGGCGUGUGUCCCUGGUGAGUGUCCGCUCCUUCUUCCUUCUUGUGUCGGAUUGCCCUUGGCUCUCACAGCCGAGACUUUUCGUCUGUCUCCAGGAGGUGGGGUUUCACAAGCCUUCCCUGCCACCGGUCCCGGAGGACGCGUUGGACCGAGCCAUGCGGAGGGUCGCCGCGGAGAAGAGGAAGGAGAAGAAGGACGCGAAGAAGGCUCGGGCCCGCGAGCGGAUGCGGGCUCGGGACGCCUUGGAGAGGCUUCGUCGUCGAUAGGAGAGGGAUGGGCUCCCGAGGGAGCCACCGCCGGAGACGCCUGACGAUGACGACGACGACGAUGAAGAUGAUGAUGAAGACGACGACAUGGCUGCCCGCCUCGGCCUCAGCCCGGAUCUGAGGCUGGGCCUGGGGUCAUCGAGCCAGCCCCCGAGCGAGCUGGCGCCGUCGGUAUCCGGGGCCGGGACGUCGGGGUCCCGGUCCGAAGAACGAGGGCAGGCCGAGGGGGUACUUGACCCCUUGGCCGAGGUAGUUGAGGUGACCCCGGGGAGUCAGGCCGACCCGCCUGUUCCCCAAGAACCGUUGCACGUGCCGAUUGCACAGGAGGGUGAUCCUCGGGUCACCGUGGCUGCGCCUGGGCAGUCCGUCCCUCUGGUGCCUCGGGCGCCCGAGGCAAGGAUGGUGCCGAAGCCGGCAGUGGGGCUAACCUCGGUGGUACCUUUGGGGACCCAGGCUCGAGGGACCUCCCCGCAGGCACGAUUGGUCGUGGCCUGGAGUGGGUAAGUAUCUUAGGAUAUCUUCGUCCUGGAUCCUCCUUCGUGUGUCCUGAUCCUGCUCUUCCUUUUCUUCUCAGCAAACGGAAGCACGGUUCGACCGGUCUGGCUCCCCGGAAGGUCCUCAAGACGGCGUCGGCUUCUGCAGCCAGUGCCGCACCGGGCCUUGCCGGCCAGCUGGCCUCCUCAAAAGAUGUCCCAAAGCAGGGGGCUCAGGCGGCACAAGUUGCUGUGGGGCGAGCUCCCGAGGCUGACCCCUCCGUCGAGGCGGUCGUCUUGUCGAGGGAGGCUGCUGGCGUGGCUGUGGCCUCAAGCCCACCAGACGUGUUGCCGGCGCUAGCACCGGCUUCUGCCGAGGCUGUUGCCGUUCUGGUCGUGGAGACGCCCAUCGCCGCCGACGCUGAGAUGGCCGAGGCCCCGCUACUCGAUACCUCGAAGGAGGGGGCACAGAACCGCGACCUGUCCUGGGGAGCGGCAACCUCGUCCUCGCGCGAUGCAGUCCCGACGGGCGGCGUCAGUCGCUUCGGUUCUGGACCAGUGGGGCUUCGGAUCCCCUCUUCGUUCUUGACGAUGAGCGAGAGGAGCAGUCUUGGGACGGGCUUCAUGAGUGUGCCAAGGCAACGGUGGGGUCGCUUCAGCCGACCUUGGAGGUCCUUUGCAGGGACGUUCCCAAGAUCCUCUAGGUAAGGAUUUCAAGCAUACCUUUCACGUGAUCAAGGUAUUCUUUGUGACGCCCCGCUUCCUUUCCUCAGGAUAUGACGGAUAUGAGCGCCGCCAAGUCGUCGUUCAUCCACCGCGAGGCCGACGUCUGGGGUUCGCUGCGGUUCCUGAGGACCACGCUUGCCGGGGCUACCGAGCGCCUCUCCCAAUGGAGCGCCGAGGUGGCGGACCUUCGGUUGCUCUGUGUCGAUCUGGGAGCGGAGGCAGCGGCGGCACGCGCAGAGGCGCAGCGGCAGCAGUUGGAGCUUGGCCAGGUCAUCGGCGAGCGGGACCAAUCUCGGGGCCGGGCCGCCGAGGCUGAAAGCCGGGCUGAGGACCUUGGAGACCAGUUAGCCGAGGCGUCUGCUCGGGCUGGAGCCCUUGCGGCAGACCUAGCCGUGGCCCAAGCCGCAUCCUCAGAGCAGCGUGCCCGAGCCGAAGGUUUGUCUUGGCUGUUUUAAGAUUUUGAUUCAGCUUCGUUCUUCAACUCGUGUUUGAAGUCUCCUGCUUUGGCUGUUUGCAGAGCUCGAGUCUGCCCUCGAUGAGUCCACCAAGGCACUUGCCCAGGCGGCCGAGCAGAGGGAGGCCGACCACGCGGCCAUGUCCGAGGCCAUCUCGGCCUUCUGCCGGGUCUUUGGUCUCGACGACGUCCCCUUGGGGAGCUCCCCUCAGAGUCGCCUGCAGGCCUUGGGUGACCACGCGCGCGACAGACUCCGCGAGGCGCUACAUCACGGCGUUAGGCGGGCCUUCGCCGUGCUCGCUUCCCACUAUGACGUGGAUCUGGAGCGGGUCAGCGAGGGGUAUUGCCUUCCCGACGAAGAUGAAGUUGCCCUGGCCGAAGUCCAGAGGCUUGACGCGGCCGCCGCGGGCCCAAGCGCGGUGCUGGCGACCACCUUCGAAGCAGAGAUCCUCCCGCUUGCGCCAUCGUCCGAGGCUGGGGCGGAUCACGCCGAGGGUGGAAACGAAGCCGACGGCGCGGCUCCUUCUCUGGGCGACGCCUGAUUCUGCCAGAGCAGUUUAUUUUGAAUGCAUAUGUGUCUUUUGCGGCCGCCGAGGCCCGAACACUUUAUCGUCGUAAUAUAAGGUUGUGUCUCUUUUCCUCCUGUUUUGCGUAUCCGGACUCGUUCGUCAGUAGCAGGAUUGCUUACCCAAGUAAGAGUUAUUUUUCGUGGUAGGUGACGAGUGAGGUAUCCGUAUCCCAGAGGCGUAGGAGUCCCUCGGCUCGGUCGGCCUUGCCACUUACAUGCACUCUUAUUCGUUUCUUGGGGUCCUGUUACUGAUAUAGUCGGGAGACGCGAAAGUCAUUUUAAUGGAAGACUUUUUCCGAGGAAAAUUUUGACGCAGAGGGGGUUCGCCCCUUCUAGCCCCCGAGGGAGGGUCGGGCUUUGCCUAGGCAAGGCUGACCCUUCCUUGAUGGUUAGACUUUGUUGGCGUAUGUAAACGAGGUGUAUGAACGACUUGAAAACAUCUUAAGGGUAGAAGCGACGUAGCUGUCGGAUGUUCCAAGUGUUGCUGUAGACCUCGCCUUGACUGUUGGCCAGCUUGUAUGUUCCGGGCUUCAAAAUCUUGGCGAUGAUGAAUGGCCCUUCCCAGGGAGGCGUGAGCUUGUGGCGCCCUCGGGCGUCUUGUCGCAGCCAAAGCACCAAGUCGCCCACCUGGAGGUCUCGGGACCAAACCCCUCGGGCGUGGUAGCGUCGCAGGGACUGCUGAUACCGCGCCGAGUGUAGUAAGGCCAUGUCCCGAGCCUCUUCCAGCUGGUCCAGUGAGUCUUCUUGGUUGGUUCGAUUGCUUUGGUCGUCGUACACCCUCGUCCUCGGGGAACCGUAUUCUAAGUAUGUGGGCAAGAUGGCCUCGGCCCCAUAGACUAGAAAGAACGGCGUGAAGACCGUGGCUUGGCUCAGCGUUGUCCUCAGACUCCAGACCACCGAGGGGAGUUCUUUCAUCCAUCGCUUGCCGAACUUGUUGAGGUCCUUGUAGACCCGUGGCUUGAGCCCUUGCAGAAUCAUGUCGUUGGCACGCUCUACUUGCCCAUUCGUCAUGGGGUGAGCUACGGCAGCCCAGUCCACCCGGAUGUGGUGAUCCUCGUAGAAGUCCAGGAACUUUCUGCCGGUGAACUGGGUGCUGUUGUCGGUGAUGAUGGAGUUCGGGACCCCGAAGCGAUGGAUGAUGUUGGUGAAGAACGCCACUGCCUGUUCGGACCUGAUGCUGUUUAGGGGUCGGACCUCGAUCCACUUGGAGAAUUUGUCGAUGGCGACCAGCAGGUGCGUGUAGCCCCCGGGUGCCUUCUACAAGGGACCGACGAGGUCUAGAUCCCACACAGCAAACGGCCAGGUGAUGGGUAUUGUCUAUAGAGCCUGAGCGGGCAGAUGGGUCUGCUUCGCGUACAAUUGACACCCUUGGCAGGUGCGUACAAUCCUAGUGUCAUCGGCCACCGUGGUUGGUCAGUAAAAACCCUGUCGGAAGGCAUUCCCAACGAGGGCUCGAGGUGCUGCAUGGUGACCGCAAGCCCCGAGUGUAUUUCUUGUAAUAACUCCUGACCUUCGGCGAUGGAUAUGCAUCGCUGGAGGAUGCCUGAGGGGCUGCGGUGGUAGAGCUCUUUCCUGUCCCCCAGCAAGACGAACGACUUGGCGCGCUGCGCCAAUCGCCGAGCUUCGGUUCGGUCGAGGGGCAACUCUCCUCGGUGGAGAUAUUGUAGGUACGGGGUCUGCCAGUCUCGAUUAGGCGGGACCCCAUUUCGCUCUUCCUCGACGCGCAGUGCCUCACCCUCGGGGGCCGAGGGUGCCUCGGGCUGAGCCGAGGGCGCCUCGGGCAGGGCCGAGACCUUCUCAGGCUCGGGCGUGUCGUCGGUCUUGACUGAGGGUUGAUGUAGGUCUCGGGAGAAGACGUCCGGGGGAACCGUUGUCCGCCCCAAGGCUAUCUUAGCCAGCUCGUCCGCAGUCUCGUUGUAUCGUCGGGCGAUGUGGUUGAGCUCGAGCCCGUAGAACUUGUCCUCCAGGCGCCGAACCUCAUCGCAGUAGGCUUCCAUCUUCGGGUCACGGCAAUGGGAGUUCUUCAUGACUUGGUCGAUGACAAGGUGCGAGUUUGCCACGAGCGUCGAGGCGUCGGACCCCUAGCUCGAUGGCGAUGUGCAACCCGUUAACCAGAGCCUCGUACUCGGCCACAUUGUUGGACGCCGGGAAAUGGAGGCGCAACACAUAGCGGAGGUGCUUCCCGAGGGGUGAGAUGAAGAGCAGGCUCACGCCCGCUCCUGUUUUCAUCAGUGACCCAUCGAAAAACAUGGUCCAGAGUUCCGGCUGAAUCGGAGCCGCUGGAAGCUGGGUGUCGACCCAUUCAGCCACAAAGUCCGCCAAGACUUGGGACUUGAUGGCCUUCCGAGGGGCGAACGAGAUUGUCUCGCCCAUGAUCUCCACCGCCCACUUUGCAAUCCUACCCGAGGCCUCUUGGCACUAGAUGAUCUCCCCUAGGGGGAAGGAUGACACCACAGUCACCGGAUGAGACUCGAAGUAGUGUCGCAACUUUCGCCGCGUCAGAAUUACCGUGUACAGUAGCUUCUGGAUUUGUGGGUAGCGGAUUUUGGUCUCGGACAGUACUUCACUGAUGAAGUAGACCGGCCUCUGGACGGGCAAUGCAUGUCCCUCUUCUUGUCUCUCAACCACGAUCGCGGCGCUGACCACCUGAGUGGUAGCGGCGACGUAGAUCAAGAGGGCUUCUCUGGCAGCGGGGGGCACCAAGAUGGGCACGCUGGUAAGGAGCGCUUUUAGGUUCCCGAGGGCUUCCUCGGCCUCGGGGGUCCAAGUGAAGCGCUCGGUCUUCCUCAAGAGGCGGUACAGAGGUAGGCCUCUUUCGCCGAGGCACGAGAUGAAACGGCUCAGGGCCGCAAGACAUCCCAUGACCCUCUGUACUCCUUUCAAGUCCUUGAUGGGGCCCAUGUUGGUGAUGGCCGCGAUUUUCUCCGGGUUGGCCUCGAUGCCCCGCUCGGAGAUGAUGAACCCCAGGAGCAUGCCUCGGGGGACUCCGAAGACACACUUCUCGGGAUUGAGUUUUACGCCUUUCGCCUUGAGACACCGGAAUGUCGUUUCAAGGUCGGAGGGGAGGUCGGAGGCUUUCCUUGUCUUGACUAUGAUGUCAUCGACGUAAGCCUCGAUCGUUCGACCAAUGUGCUCUCCGAACACGUGGUUCAUGCACCUUUGGUAUGUCGCACCCGCAUUCCUCAAACCGAAUGGCAUAGUAACGUAGCAGUACAUGCCAAAAGGUGUGAUGAAAGAAGUCGCGAGCUGGUCGGACUCUUUCAUCCUGAUUUGGUGAUACCCUGAGUAGGCAUCGAGGAAAGACAGGGUUUCACACCCAGUAGUGGAAUCCAUGAUUUGAUCGAUGCGAGGCAGAGGGUAGGGAACCUUCGGACAUGCUUUGUUUAGACCAGUGUAGUCUACACACAUCCGCCAUUUCCCUCCUUUCUUUCUCACAAGCACAGGGUUGGCAAGCCAUUCGGGAUGGAAUACCUCUUUGAUGAACCAUGUGGCCAUCAGCUUGUAGAUCUCCUCGCCUAUGGCUCUGCGCUUUUCUUCGUCGAAUCGGCGCAGAGGCUGCUUCAUGGGUCAGGCUCCAGCUCGGAUAUCCAGCGAGUGCUCGGCGACAUCCCUCGGUAUGCCAGGCAUGUCCGAGGGACUCCACGCAAAAACUUCGGUGUUCGCGCGGAGAAAGUCGACGAGCACUGCUUCCUAUUUGGGGUCGAGCUCGGAGCCGAUCCGUAUCUGCUUGGAGGCGUCGUUGCUGGGGUCGAGAGGGACGGAUUUGACCGUCUCAGCUGGCUCGAAGUUGCCGGCAUGGCGCUUCGCAUCUGGCGCCUCCUUGGAGAGGCUCUCCAGGUCGGCGAUGAGGGCCUCGGAUUCGGUGAGGGCCUCGGCGUACUCCAUGCACUCCACGUCGCAUUCGUACACGUGUCGGUGAGAGCACCUAGAGGGGGGUGAAUAGGUGAUCCUGUAAAACUUGAACUUUAAUGCCACAAAAACUUGGUUAGGAGUUAGCACAAUAAAGCCAAGUGGCUAGAGAGGAGUCUUUGCAAGACACGAUAAUCACAAGAAGAUCAAUCACAGAUAGACACAGUGGUUUAUCUCGUGGUUCGACCAAGUUCAACACUUGCCUACUCCACGUUGUGGCGUCCCAACGGACGAGGGUUGCAAUCAACCCCUCUCAAGCGGUCCAAAGACCCACUUGAAUACCACGGUGUUUUGCUUUGUUUAUUUUAUCCCGCUUGCGAGGAAUCUCCAGAACUUGGAGCCUCUCGCCCUUACACUUUGGUGUUCACAAAGAAGCUCGGAGUAAGGGAGGGAUGAGCAACGCACACAAGACACAAAAUCAGAGCGACAAUACGCACACAAGUCACAACACGAGCUCUCAACACAACUCAAAGAGUUCUCUACUCAAAUGGAGCUCUAGUUGCUAUCACAAAGAAUCGAAUGCGCGGAAUUGAAGUCUUGGUGCUUAGGAAUGCUUAGAGAAUGCUUGGUGUACUCCUCCAUGCGCCUAGGGGUCCCUUUUAUAGCCCCAAGGCAGCUAGGAGCCGUUGAGAGCAUUCCAGGAAGGCAAUUCUUGCCUUUUGUCGCCUGGCGCACCAGACAAUCCGGUGCACCACCGGACACUGUCCGGUGCGGAUUUCUUUCCUUCUUUGGCGAAGCCGACCAUUGGCGGUUCAGAGCCGUUGGCGCACCGGACACUGUCCGGUGCACACCGGACAGUCCGGUGCCCCCUUCUAACCGUUGGCUCUGCCACGCGUCGCGCGCGGAUUACGCGGCCGACCGUUGGGCCGGCCGACUGUUGGCUCACCGGACAGUCCGGUGCACCACCGGACAGUCCGGUGAUUUAUAGUCGUACGCUACCGUCGAAACCCGAGAGCAGCCAUUUCGCAGACGCCAGCCUGGCGCACCGGACACUGUCCGGUGCACCACCAGACAGUCCGGUGCACCCAGACUGCACAGAGUCUUGGCUGCUCAGCCAAGUCUUUUCCAAUUUGGUCUUUUCCUGUUUCUAGCACUUAGACACAAUACAUUAGUCUUCAAAACAAUGUACUAAGUCUUAGAAACAUACCUUUACUCUUGAUUUGCACUUUGUCCAUCAUUUGGCAUAGAUUAAUACUUAGGCACUUGUGUUGGACACUUAAUCACCAAAAUACUUAGAAAUGGCCCUAGGGCACAUUUCCCUUUCAAUCUCCCCCUUUUUGGUGAUUUAUGCCAACACAAUACAAAGCAACUAAAAGAAGUGCAACAUCAAUGCAAAUGAAAACUCAUAUUUGUUUUGAUUCAAAUUUGGCAUAUUUGGAUCAUUCUUUGCCACCACUUGGUUUGUUUUUGCAAAUCAAUCUCAAUUUCCUAUCUCUAAGUCAAACACACUUGUUGAGACAUAAAGAAAGGUAUUCCAUGUGAAAUUGAUCAAGGAUUUCAAAAACUCCCCCUUUUUCCCAUAAUCAACCAUUCUUCCCACAAGAAGCCAACUUUUGACAAAAGAGACAAUAAGAGAUUUUUGACAAACCCAAAAGCUCUAUUCUACAAUUUUCAAAAUUCUCAAGUGGUAGCUGAUCCAUUUAUUGCUUUGGCCUUAUUUUCUCCCCCUUUGGCAUCAAGCACCAAAACGGAAUCAAUCUUGGCCCUUUAACCCCAUUGCCUCACCAAAAUCUUCAACUAAGAGUAAAAAGGCAAUAAGAGUACAAAGAUGAACUUGGAAUCAGUUACUCUUUCAUCGGAGUGCAGUGGAAGUCUUGCAUGGUCCAAGUCCACCUUUUUCCUUUCAACCCUCCUUUGAGACUAAAUUAAGCAAACUCGAGCACACAGUUAGUCUCAAUGGGUCAAGUUGUAGCACAUCUCCCCCUAAAUAUGUGCAUCACUUGCAAAUGGACUUGUGAGGUUCGGGGAGUGCUUGUACAACUUGAGCACCAUUAAUAAACAAUAAAAUACAUUAAGGAACGUGAUCAAGGAAUAAAACACAUGUAUGCUAUAAAUCAAUCCAGGUUUCGCGAAUCUAAGACAUUUAGCUCACUUCGCAGCAUGCAAAAGGUCGACUCAUCUAGAGGCUUGGUAAAGAUAUCGGCUAGCUGGUUCUCGGUGCUAACAUGAAACACUUCGAUAUCUCCCUUUUGCUGGUGGUCUCUCAAAAAGUGAUGUCGGAUGUCAAUAUGCUAUGUGCGGCUGUGUUCAACAGGAUUAUCCGCCAUGCGGAUAGCACUCUCAUUAUCACAUAGGAGUGGGACUUUGCUCAGAUUGUAGCCAAAGUCCCUGAGGGUUUGCCUCAUCCAAAGUAGUUGCACAACACUGUCCUGCGGCAACAUACUCGGCCUCAGCGGUGGAUAGGGCAACGGAAGUUUGUUUCUUAGAACUCCACGACACCAGGGACCUUCCUAAGAAUUGGCACAUCCCUGAUGUACUCUUCCUAUCGACCUUACAUCCAGCAUAGUCGGAGUCUGAAUAUCCAAUCAAGUCAAAGGUAGACCCCUUUGGAUACCAGAUCCCGAAGCAAGGCGUAGCGACUAAAUAUCUAAGAAUUCGCUUCAUGGCCACUAAGUGACACUCCCUUGGAUCGGAUUGAAAUCUAGCACACAUGCAUACGCUAAGCAUAACAUCCGGUCUACUAGCACAUAAAUAAAGUAAAGACCCUAUCAUAGACCGGUAUGCUUUUUGAUCAACGGACUUACCUCCUUUGUUGAGGUCAGUGUGUCCAUCGGUUCCCAUUGGAGUCUUUGCGGGCUUGGCGUCCUUCUUCCCAAACCGCUUGAUCAAGUCUUGCGUGUACUUCGUUUGGGAGAUGAAGGUCCCAUCCUUGAGUUGCUUCACUUGGAACCCAAGGAAGUAUCUUAACUCGCCCAUCAUCGACAUCUCAAACUUUUGAGUCAUCACCCUGCUAAACUCUUCACAAGACUUUUGGUUAGUAGAACCAAAUAUUAUGUCAUCGACAUAAAUUUGGCACACAAAAAGAUCACCAUCACAAGUCUUAGUAAAAAGAGUUGGAUUGGCUUUCCCAACCUUGAAAUCAUUAGCAAUUAAAAAGUCUCUAAGGCAUUCAUACCAUGCUCUUGGGGCUUGCUUAAGUCCAUAGAGCACCUUAGAGAGCUUACACACGUGGUCGGGGUACCGUUCAUCCUCGAAGCCAGGGGGUUGCUCAACGUAUACCUCCUCCUUGAUUGGCCCGUUGAGGAAGGCGCUCUUCACAUCCAUUUGGAACAAUCUGAAAGAAUGGUGAGUAGCAUAGGCUAACAAUAUGCGAAUUGACUCUAGCCUAGCCACAGGAGCAAAAGUCUCCUCAAAGUCCAAACCUGCGACUUGGGCAUAACCGUUUGCCACAAGUCGGGCCUUGUUCCUUGUCACCACCCCGUGCUCGUCUUGUUUGUUGCGGAACACCCACUUGGUUCCCACAACAUUUUGCUUGGGACGAGGCACCAGUGUCCAAACUUCAUUUCUCUUGAAGUUGUUGAGCUCCUCUUGCAUGGCCAACACCUAGUCCGGAUCUAGCAAGGCCUCUUCUACCCUGAAAGGCUCAAUAGAAGAGACAAAGGAGUAAUGCUCACAAAAAUUCACUAAUCUAGAACGAGUAGUUACUCCCUUGCUUAUGUCACCCAAUAUUUGGUCGAUGGGAUGAUUCCUUUGAAUCGUCGCUCGAACUUGGGUUGGAGGUGCCGGUUGUGCUUCUUCCUCCAUUAAAUGAUCAUCUUGUGCUCCCCCUUGAUCACACGCCUCCUCUUGAUGAACCUGUUCAUCUUCUUGAGUUGGGGGAUGCACCGUUGUUGAGGAAGAAGGUUGAUCUUGCUCCUUUUGUUCCAGUGGCCUCACAUCUCCAAUCACCAUGGUGCGCAUUGCGGCCGUUGGAACGUCUUCUUCAUCUACAUCAUCAAGAUCAACAACUUGCUCUCUUGGAGAGCCAUUAGUCUCAUCAAAUACAACGUCGCUAGAGACUUCAACCAAACCCGAUGAUUUGUUGAAGACCCUAUACGCCUUUGUAUUUGAGUCAUAACCUAACAAAAACCCUUCUACAGCUUUGGGAGCAAACUUAGAAUUCCUACCUUUCUUCACUAGAAUGUAACAUUUUCUCCCAAAUACACGAAAGUAAGACACAUUGGGUUUGUUACCGGUUAGAAGCUCAUAUGACGUCUUCUUGAGGAGGCGAUGAAGGUAGACCCGGUUUAUGGCGUGGCAAGCCGUGCUCACGGCUUUCGUCCAAAACCGUUCGGGUGUCUUCAAUUCACCAAGCAUCGCCCUCGCCAUGUCUAGUAGCGUCCUGUUCUUCCUCUCUACCACACCAUUUUGCUGUGGUGUGUAGGGAGCGGAGAACUCGUGCUUGAUUCCUUCCUCCUCAAGAUACUCCUCCACUUGAAGAUUCUUGAACUCGGAUCCAUUGUUGCUCCUUAUCUUCUUCACUUUGAGCUCAAACUCGUUUUGGGCUCUCCUCAGGAAGCGCUUGAGGGUCCCUUGGGUUUCGGAUUUAUCCUGCAAAAAGAAUACCCAAGUGAAGCAGGAAAAAUCAUCAACUAUAACAAGACCAUACUUACUUCCUCCUAUACUUAGAUAGGCGACGGAUCCGAAGAGGUCCAUAUGAAGUAACUCCAGGGGUCUUGAUGUUGUCAUCACAUUUUUGGCAUGAUGAGAGCUUCCCACUUGUUUACCUGCUUGACAAGCUGCACAAGGUCUAUCUUUUUCGAAAGUUACAUUAGUUAGACCUAACACGUGUUCUCCCUUUAGAAGCUUGUGAAGGUUCUUCAUCCCCACAUGUGCUAAGCAGCGAUGCCACAGCCAACCCAUGUUAGUCUUAGCAUUUAAGCAUGCAUCUAGACCGGCCUCCUCUUUUGCAAAAUCAACUAAAUAAAGUUUGUCGUCUAGUGCACCCUUAAAAGCUAAUGAACCAUCACUUCUUCUAAAGACAGACACAUCUACAUUUGUGAAUAAACAGUUAUAUCCCAUAUUACAAAGUUGACUCACAAACAACAAGUUAUAUCCAAGUGACUCAACUAAGAACACAUUAGAAAUAGAGUGCUCGGAUGAAAUAGCAAUUUUUCCUAACCCUUUCACCUUGCCUUGGUUGCCAUCACCGAAUAUGAUUGAAUCUUGGGGAUCCUUGUUCUUGACGUAGGAAGAGAACAUCCUCUUUUCCCCCGUCAUGUGGUUUGUGCAUCCGCUGUCGAUAAUCCAGCUUGAGCCCCCGGAUGCAUAAACCUGCAAGGCAAAUUUAGGCUUGGGUCUUAGGUACCCAACUCAUGUUGGGUCCUACAAGGUUAGUUACAAUAGUCUUAGGGACCCAAAUGCAAGUCUUGUCUCCCUUACAUUUGGCCCCUAAUUUCCUAGCAAUUACCUUCUUAUCCUUUCUACAAAUAGCAAAGGAAGCAUUGCAAGCAUAAUAAAUUGUAGAAGGUUCAUUCAUUACUUUCCUAGGAACAUGAACAAUAUUUCUUCUAGGCAUAUGAUGAAAAACAUUUUUCCUAGCCAAAUUUCUAUUAUGCAUAAUAGAGGAACUUGAAGCAAACAUUGCAUUUGAAUCAUAAGCAUGUGAACCAACAUCAUUGCAACUUCUAUCAUGAUGAAUAUUCCUAGAAUAUCUCCUAUCAUGGUACAUGAAAGCAUGGUUCUUUUGAACACUACUAGCCAUAGGGGCCUUCCCUUUCUCCUUGGCGGAGAUGAAAGCCUUAUGGCUUGUUAAGUUCUUGACUUCCCUCUUGAAGCCAAGACCAUCCUUAAUUGAGGGGUGUCUACCAAUUGUGUAGGCAUCCCUUGCAAAUUUUAGUUUGUCAAAUUCACUCUUGCUAGUCUUAAGUUGGGCAUUAAGACUAGCCACUUCAUCAUUCAAAUUAGAAAUUGAAACUAGAUGUUCACUACAAGCAUCAACAUUAAAAUCUUUACACCUAUUGCAAAUUGCAACAUGUUCUACACAAGAUGUUGAUUUAUUAGCUAUUUCUAACUUAGCACUCAAAUCAUCAUUUAUGCUCUUUAAGCUAGAAAUAGAGUCAUGACAUGUAGACAAUUCACAAGAAAGCAUUUCAUUUCUUUUAAUUUCUAAAGCAAGGGAUUUUUGUGCCUCUACAAACUUGUCAUGUUCUUCAUACAAAAGAUCCUCUUGCUUUUCUGAUAACCUAUUCUUAUCAUUCAAUGCAUCAAUUAAUUCAUUAAUCUUAUCAACCUUAGUUCUAUCUAGGCCCUUAAAUAAACAUGAAUAGUCUAUUUCAUCAUCGCUAGAUUCUUCAUCACUUGAGGAAGCGUAAGUACUAGUAUCACGAGUGCUUACCUUCUUUUCCCUUGCCAUGAGGCAGGUGUGAUGCUCGUUGGGGAAGAGGGCCGACUUGUUGAAGGCGAUGGCGGCGAGUCCUUCGUUGUCGGAGUCGGACGACAAACAAUCCGAGUCCCACUCCUUUCCAAGGUGUGCCUCGCCCUUAGCCUUCUUGUAAGUCUUCUUCUUUUCCCUCUUGUUCCCUUGUUCCUGGUCACUAUCAUUAUCGGGAUAGUUAGCGAUAAAAUGACCAAUCUUACCACAUUUGAAGCAUGAGUGCUUCCCCUUUGUCUUGGUCUUGUUGGGAUGCUCCUUGCGACCCCUUAGCGCUGUCUUGAAAUGCUUGAUGAUGAGGGCCAUCUCUUCCUCAUUGAGCCCCGCCGCUUCAACUUGUGCCACCUUGCUAGGUAGCGCCUCCUUGCUCCUCGUUGCUUUGAGAGCCACGGUUUGAGGCUCAUGGAUUGGGCCAUUCAACGCAUCAUCAACGUACCUAGCCUCCUUGAUCAUCAUCCGCCCGCUUACGAACUUUCCAAGUAUCUCCUCGGGCGUCAUCUUGGUGUACCUAGGAUUCUCACGAAUAUUGUUCACAAGAUGUGGAUCAAGGACGGUAAAAGACCUUAGCAUUAGGCCGACGACGUUGUGGUCCGUCCAUCGCGUGCUUCCAUAGCUCCUUAUUUUGUUGACGAGGGUCUUGAGCCGGUUGUAUGUUUGGGUUGGCUCCUCGCCCCUGAUCAUUGUGAAUCUCCCAAGUUCGCCCUCCACCAAUGCCAUCUUGGUGAGCAUGGUGACGCCGUUCCCCUCAUGUGAGAUUUUGAGGGUGUCCCAAAUCUUCUUGUCGUUAUCCAAGCCGCUCACCUUAUGGUAUUCAUCCCUGCACAAUGAAGCUAGAAGAACAGUAGUAGCUUGUGCAUUUUUGUGAAUUUGCUCAUUAAUGAACAUGGGGCUAUCUGUACUAUCAAAGUGCAUUCCAUUUUCUACUAUCUCCCAUAUACUUGGAUGGAGAGAAAACAAGUGGCUACGCAUUUUGUGACUCCAAAAUCCGUAGUCCUCUCCAUCAAAGUGGGGGGGGGGUUUACCGAGUGGAAUGGAAAGCAAAUGAGCAUUGGAACUUUGCGGAAUACGAGAAUAAUCAAAGGAGAAGUUGGAAUUAACCGUCUUCUUUUUCUCGUAGUCGUUGUCGUCGUCCUUUUGGGAAGAGGAAGAUUUGUCGCUGUCGUAGUAGACUAUCUCCUUGAUCCGCCUUGUUUUCUUCUUCCUCCCGUCUUUUCUUUUGUGGCCCGAGCCUGAGUCAGUAGGCUUAUCAUACUUUGGAUCAUUGACGAAGGACUCCUUCUCCUUAUCAUUGACCACCAUCCCCUUGCCCUUAGGAUCCAUCUCUUCGGGCGAUUAGUCCCUUUCUUGAAGAGAACGGCUCUGAUACCUAUUGAGAGCACCUAGAGGGGGGUGAAUAGGUGAUCCUAUAAAACUUGAACUUUAAUGCCACAAAAACUUGGUUAGGAGUUAGCACAAUAAAGCCAAGUGGCUAGAGAGGAGUCUUUGCAAGACACGAUAACCACAAGAAGAUCAAUCACAGAUAGACACAGUGGUUUAUCCUGUGGUUCGGCCAAGUUCAACACUUGCCUACUCCACGUUGUGGCGUCCCAACGGACGAGGGUUGCAAUCAACCCCUCUCAAGCGGUCCAAAGACCCACUUGAAUACCAUGGUGUUUUGCUUUGUUUAUUUUAUCCCGCUUGCGAGGAAUCUCCACAACUUGGAGCCUCUCGCCCUUACACUUUGAUGUUCACAAAGAAGCUCGGAGUAAGGGAGGGAUGAGCAACGCACACAAGACACAAAAUCAGAGCGACAAUACGCACACAAGUCACAACACAAGCUCUCAACACAACUCAAAGAGUUCUCUACUCAAAUGGAGCUCUAGUUGCUAUCACAAAGAAUCGAAUGCGCGGAAUUGAAGUCUUGGUGCUUAGGAAUGCUUAGAGAAUGCUUGGUGUACUCCUCCAUGCGCCUAGGGGUCCCUUUUAUAGCCCCAAGGCAGCUAGGAGCCGUUGAGAGCAUUCCAGGAAGGCAAUUCUUGCCUUCUAUCGCCUGGUGCACCGGACAGUCCGGUGCACCACCGGACACUGUCCGGUGCGGAUUUCAGUCCUGUGCCCCCUUCUGACCGUUGGCUCUGCCACGCGUCGCGCACGGAUUACACGACCGAUCGUUGGCCCGGCCGACUGUUGGCUCACCGGACAGUCCGGUGCACCACUGGACAGUCCGGUGAUUUAUAGCCGUACGCCGCCGUCGAAACCAGAGAGCAGCCAUUUCGUAGACGCCAGCCUGGCGCACCGGACACUGUCCGGUGCACCCCCGGACACUCCGGUGCACCCAGACUGCACAGAGUCUUGGCUGCUCAGCCAAGUCUUUUCCAAUUUGGUCUUUUCCUGUUUCUAGCACUUAGACACAAUACAUUAGUCUUCCAAACAAUGUACUAAGUCUUAGAAACAUACCUUUACUCUUGAUUUGCACUUUGUCCAUCAUUUGGCAUAGAUUAACACUUAGGCACUUGUGUUGGACACUUAAUCACCAAAAUACUUAGAAAUGGACCAAGGGCACAUUUCCCUUUCAGUCGGUACGUGGAGCCGACGGUGAUGACCCCGUUGGGGCCCGUCAUCUUGAGCUUGAGGUAGGUGUAGUUGGGGACGGCCAUGAACUUGGCGUAGCAUGGCCUCCCCAGCACUGCGUGGUAGGUUCCUCGGAACCCGACCACCUCGAACGUGAGGGUUUCCUUUCGGAAGUUGGAGGGAGUCCCGAAGCAGACGGGCAGAUCGAGUUGCCCAAGGGGUUGGACGCGUUUCCCGGGGAUGAUCCCGUGAAAAGGCGCCUUGCUGGCCCGGAUCGAGGACAGAUCGAUCUGCAGGAGCCGAGGGUCUCGGCGUAGAUGAUGUUGAGGCUGCUGCCUCCGUCCAUGAGGACCUUGGUAAGCCUGAUGUUGCCGAUUGACGGGAUCGACAAUGAGCGGGUACUUCUCUGGGCUCAGCACACGGUCGGGGGGUCGCCCUGGUCGAAGGUGAUGGGCUUGUCGGACCAGUCCAGGUAGACUGGCGCCGCCAACUUUACCGAGCAGACCUCCCGGCGCUCUUGCUUGCGGUGCCGAGCCGAGGCAUUUGCCACAUGCCCACCAUAGAUCAUGAAGCAGUCGUGGACCUCGGGGAACUCCUUUGCCUUGUGAUCCUCCUUCUUGUCAUUGUUGUGGGCUCGGCCACCUUCCGCCGGUGGCCUGGCCCUGUGGAAGUGGCGCCGAAGCAUGAUGCAUUCCUCAAGGGUGUGCUUAACGGGACCCUGAUGAUAGGGGCACGGCUCCUUGAGCAUUUUGUCGAACAGGUUGGUGCGUCUGGGAGGCUUCCGAGGGUUCCUAUGCUCGGCGGCGGCGACAAGGUCCGCGUCGGCGGCAUCGCGUUUCGCUUGCGACUUCUUCUUGCCCUUCUUCCUCGCACCGCGCUGAGCGGACGCCUCGGGGACGUCUUCCGGCUGGCGCCCCUGAGGCUGCUUGUCCUUCCGAAAGAUGGCCUCGACCGCCUCCUGACCAGAGGCGAACUUGGUGGCGAUGUCCAUCAGCUCGCUCGCCUUGGUGGGAGUCUUGCGACCCAGUUUGCUCACCAGGUCGUGGCAAGUGGUGCCGGCGAGGAAUGCGCCGAUGACAUCCGAGUCGGUGAUGUUGGGCAACUCGGUGCGCUGCUUCGAAAAUCGUCGGAUGUAGUCCCAGAGGGAUUCUCCUGGCUGCUGGCGGCAGCUUCGGAGAUCCGAGGAGUUCCUAGGGCGCACGUAUGUGCCCUGGAAGUUGCCGGCGAAGGCUUUGACCAGGUUGUCCCAGUUGGAGAUCUGCGCAGGAGGCAGUUGCUCCAGCCAGGCUCGGGCGGCGUCGGAGAGGAACAGGGGAAGGUUGCGGAUGAUGAGGUUGUCAUCGUCCGUCCCACCCAGCUGGCAGGCCAGCCGGUAGUCCGCGAGCCACAGCUCCGGCUUUGACUCCCCCGAGUACUUGGUGAUGGUAGUCGGGGUUCGGAACCGGGUCGGGAACGGUGCCCAUCGUAUGGCCCGGCUGAAAGCCCGCGGACCGAGUGGUUCGGGCGAGGGGCUCCGAUCCUCCCCGCUGUCGUAGCGUCCCCCACGCCUGGGGUGGUAGCCUCGGUGCACCCUCUCGUCGAGGUGGGCUCCACGGUAGCGGCGGGGGUGCUCGUUGCCGAGGCGACCCGGGGCCGCAGGCGCUGAGUUCCGCGUUCGCCUGGUGUGGACCGAGGCUUCCCGCAUGAAUCGGGAAGUCGUGGCACGAUGCUCCGGGGGGUACCCCUGCCUUCGGGAGGCAGAGCUUUCGGCCCGUCGGACCGCGGCAUCUUCCAGGAGAUUCUUGAGCUCUCCCGGGAUGCGCCGCCCCUCGGUGGUGGAUGGUUCCGGCAUCGCUCGGAGUAGUAUCGCUGCUGCUGCCAGGUUCUGGCCGACCCCACUGGAAGCCAGAGGCAGCCUUGCCCUGGCAUCAUCGGCGAUGCGGUGCUGGACGUCCUAGGCCCGGUGACGCGCUUCUCCGGCCGGUGCUCGGCCUGCCCACUCCUGCCUAAUAUUUUGCCGAAGCUGCACAAGUUGUCCUGCUUCCUCGUCGAGCCUGGCCUGUACCUUGCGGAUUUGCUCGAGCUGUGCGUCCUGACCCCCGUAGGGACUAGGACCACAGCUAGCUUCCGAAGGAUGUCAACGCAAGGCGCAGGCCUAGGGGGAUCACCGUCCUCCAGCAUACCAAGAUGGUUGCCUUCAUCGAGACCCCCUAGAUCGACGUGGAAGCAUUCGUGACUUGGGCCACAGUCCUCGUUGCCGAGGCUGUGGCUGCUAUCGGAGCAAUCAGAGAGGCAGUAGUCACAUGCGGUCAUGAAGUCCCGCAUGGCACUGGGGUUAUCGAGCCCGGAGAAAUCCCAACCAGAGUCGGGCUCGUCAUCUUCCUCGGAACCCAGAGGCCCGUAGGUCGAGACGGCCGUCAGCCGGUCCCAGGGUGACCGCAUAUGGUACCCCGGAGGGUUUGGACACGCCUUUAUGAAAGCGUCCACCGAAGCGGGGUCGCUUGGUGGGUCACAGCUGGAUCCAAAAGGCAUGGAACGGGAAAUGGACGGUACCUCUUGAUCGACGGGUGGUGACGAAGUCACGUCAGGGAUGGACUGCACCGUUGUCUCAGGUACGAGGCUAACGCCCAGCAUGUCCUUCGCGAGCGUGCUGGCGUUGUCCGUCUGCAUGGAGUUGGCGUGUUGCGGGGAAACGGCGCUCGCCUUCGUCUCAGAUGCGAGGUCGACGCCCGAUGUGUCCCCCGUUGGAGCGCCCGCGCCGUCGACUUGCUCGAUAGCCGACGAGGUGCCGCCUCCUGCUUGGCCAUGCCUACCCCGCCUCCUCCUCCGUCGGCGGGGAAGGCGACGGGACAGACCCGGAUGUUGCUCUUCCGCCACGAGGGGAAGACGUCGUCGAUUCCACCGCCGGCGGGCGGGCUGACGGCCGCCAUUGUCAUUGUCGCACGGCAGAGGAAGGAGUAUCAUGUCGUAGCUGCCGUCGAGGGACAUGAACUCCAGGCUCCCGAAACGAAGCAUCAUCUCGGGUUGAAGAGGUUGCUGGAGACUACCCAUCUGGAGCUUGAUGGGAAGCUGUUCGUCAACACGCAGCAGGCCCCUACCUGGCGCGCCAACUGUCGACGUUUCGACCCCGGGGGGUCCCUGGACCGACGAGUAAAUUGUCGCCGCGUGUCCCAGCCCAGAUGGAUCAGCGUGAGACGGAGCACGAAGGGGGAAGAAACAGGCAAAGGGGAAACCCGCGGCCUUCGUGUUGCCCUACGCCCAGGUCGGGUGCGCUUGCAGUAGGGGGGUUACAAGCGUCCGCAAGGGAGAGAGAGAGACUGUCCGCUAGCCCGUUCUCCCGCGCGGCCAACCUUCUCGUACGAGAGCCCUGGACCUUCCUUUUAUAGGCGUAAGGAGAGGGCCCAGGUGUACAAUGGGGGGUGUAGCAGUGUGCUAACGUGUCUAGCAAAGAGGAGCUAGAGCCCUAAGUACAUGCCGUCGUGGCAGUCGGAGAUGUCUUGGCACCCUGUUCAUAUGAUGUCGUGGCCGUCGGAGGAGCGCUUGGGCCCUAUGGAAGGACAGCUGUCGGGGCUGUCGGAUCCUUGCUGACGUCUCCUUGCUUCCGUAAGGGGCUGAGAACCGCCAUCGUCAUGGAGCAGGCGGGGCGCCAUCAUUACUUGUUUACCGGGGCGAGCCAGAUGGGACGCCGAUCUUGUUCCCCGUAGCCUGAGCUAGCUAGGGGUAGGGUAAUGAUGGCCCCCCUGUGACGUGGUCGGUCCGAGCUCGAGGUCGGGCGAGGCGGAGGCUCCUCCGAGGUCGAGGUCGAGUCUGGGCCCUAGGUCGGGCGAGGCGGAGACCGUCUUCCGAGGCCGAGGAUGAGUCCAAGCCCUGGGUCGGGCGAGGCGGAGACCAUCUUCCGAGGCCGAGGCUGAGUCCGUCUUCCGGGGUCGAGGCUGAGUCCGAGCCCUGGGUCGGGCGAGGCGGAGACCAUCUUCUGAGGCCGAGGCUGAGUCCGAGCCCUGGGUCGGGCGAGGCGGAGUCCAUCUUCCGGGGUCGAGGCUGAGUCCGAGCCUUGGGUCGGGCGAGGCGGAGCUUCCCAUGGCGCCCGAGACUAGACUUAGCUACUGCCAGCCUCACUCUGUCGAGUGGCACAAUAGUCGAAGCGGGGCAGGCGGCGCUGUUUUCCUGUCAGGUCGUUCAGUGGAGCGGCGAAGUGACUGCGGUCACUUCGGCUCUGUCGACUGAGGAGCGCGUGUCAGGAUAAGGUGUCAGUCGACCCUUGCAUUAAAUGCUCCUGCGAUACGGUCGGUUGGCGUGGCGAUCUGGCCAAGGUUGCUUCUCCGCGAAGACUGGGCCUCGGGCGAGUCGAAGGUGUGUCCGUCGCUUGAGGGGGCCCUCGGGCGAGACAUGAAUCCUCCGGGGUCGGCUGCCUUUGCCUGAGGCUGGGCUCAGGCAAGGCGAGAUCGUGUCCCUUGAGUGGACUGAGCCUUGACCUUAAUCGCGCCCAUCAGGCCUUUGCAGCUUUGUGCUGAUGGGGGUUACCAGCUGAGAUUAGGAGCCUUGGGGGUACCCCUAAUUAUGGUCCCCAACAUUUGUUGUCUUGCAUUAAGACACAUCCCAAUCCAGUACCUGAAGCAUCGCAAUACACUUCAAAGGUCUUGGUGUUGUCAGGUUGAGCUAGCACUAGGGCUGUUGUCAAGUGCUGCCUUAGUGUAUGGAAGGCAUCUUCACACUUCUGGCUCCAAUUAUACUUGACUCCCUUCUUCAACAGUUUAGUCAUUGGCUUGGCAAUUCUGGAGAAAUCCGGAAUGAAUCGUCGAUAAUACCCUGCCAAUCCCAGAAAACUUCGAAUCUGCCUCACUGUAGUAGGAGGUUUCCAAUCCAUUACUUCUUGUACCUUCUCAGGAUCAACUGAUAUCCCAUUCUGAGAAAUUGUGUGACCCAAGAAUUUAAUUUCUCUCAGCCAGAAUUCACAUUUAGACAACUUAGCAUAAAGACGAUGAUCGCGCAGUUGCUGAAGCACGAUGUGCAGAUGCUCAGUAUGCUCGUCUUUAUUCUUGGAAUAGACCAGGAUAUCAUCAAUGAAAACCACGACAAAUUUGUCCAGCUCUGGCAUGAAUACUGAGUUCAUCAGGUACAUGAAAUAAGCCAGGGCAUUGGUCAGCCCAAAAGACAUCACCAAGAACUCAUAGAGCCCAUAUCUGGUAGAGAAAGCAGUCUUUGGAAUAUCACUGGCACGGAUCUUGAUCUGAUGGUAGCCCGAGCGAAGGUCUAUCUUGGAGAAUACCUUGGCUCCCACCAACUGAUCAAACAAAACAUCAAUGCGGGGAACUCCUUGAUCAUCAUCCGCCCGCUUACGAACUUUCCAAGUAUCUACUCGGGCGUCAUCUUGGUGUACCUAGGAUUCUCACGAAUAUUGUUCACAAGAUGUGGAUCAAGGACAGUAAAAGACCUUAGCAUUAGGCGGACGACGUCGUGGUCCGUCCAUCACGUGCUUCCAUAGCUCCUUAUUUUGUUGACAAGGGUUUAUCCCAUGGUUCGGCCAAGUUCAACACUUGCCUACUCCACGUUGUGGCGUCCCAACAGACGAGGGUUGCAAUCAACCCCUCUCAAGCGGUCCAAAGACCCACUUGAAUACCAUGGUGUUUUGCUUUGUUUAUUUUAUCCCGCUUGCGAGGAAUCUCCACAACUUGGAGCCUCUCGCCCUUACACUUUGAUGUUCACAAAGAAGCUCGGAGUAAGGGAGGGAUGAGCAACGCACACAAGACACAAAAUCAGAGCGACAAUACGCACACAAGUCACAACACGAGCUCUCAACACAACUCAAAGAGUUCUCUACUCAAAUGGAGCUCUAGUUGCUACCACAAAGAAUCGAAUGCGCGGAAUUGAAGUCUUGGUGCUUAGGAAUGCUUAGAGAAUGCUUGGUGUACUCCUCCAUGCGCCUAGGGGUCCCUUUUAUAGCCCCAAGGCAGCUAGGAGCCGUUGAGAGCAUUCCAGGAAGGCAAUUCUUGCCUUCUAUCACCUGGCGCACCGGACACUGUCCGGUGCGGAUUUCUUUCCUUCUUUGGCGAAGCCGACCGUUGGCGGUUCAGAGCCGUUGGCGCACCAGACACUGUCCGGUGCACACCGGACAGUCCGGUGCCCCCUUCUGACCGUUGGCUCUGCCACGCGUCGCGCGCGGAUUACGCGGCCGACCGUUGGCCCGACCGACUGUUGGCUCACCGGACAGUCCGGUGCACCACCGGACAGUCCGGUGAUUUAUAGCCGUACGCCGCCGUCGAAACCCGAGAGCAGCCAUUUCGUAGACGCCAGCCUGGCGCACCGGACAAUGUCCGGUGCACCACCGGACAGUCCGGUGCACCCAAACUGCACAGAGUCUUGGCUGCUCAGCCAAGUCUUUUCCAAUUUGGUCUUUUCCUGUUUCUAGCACUUAGACACAAUACAUUAGUCUUCAAAACAAUGUACUAAGUCUUAGAAACAUACCUUUACUCUUGAUUUGCACUUUGUCCAUCAUUUGGCAUAGAUUAACACUUAGGCACUUGUGUUGGACACUUAAUCACCAAAAUACUUAGAAAUGGACCAUGGGCACAUUUCCCUUUCAGUCGGUACGUGGAGCCGACGGUGAUGACCCCGUUGGGGCCCGGCAUCUUGAGCUUGAGGUAGGUGUAGUUGGGGACGGCCAUGAACUUGGCGUAGCAUGGCCUCCCCAGCACUGCGUGGUAGGUUCCUCGGAACCCGACCACCUCGAACGUGAGGGUUUCCUUUCGGAAGUUGGAGGGAGUCCCGAAGCAGAUGGGCAGAUUGAGUUGCCCAAGGGGUUGGACGUGUUUCCCGGGGAUGAUCCCGUGAAAAGGCGCCACGCUGGCCCGGAUCGAGGACAGAUCGAUCUGUAGGAGCCCGAGGGUCUCGACGUAGAUGAUGUUGAGGCUGCUGCCUCCGUCCAUGAGGACCUUGGUAAGCCUGAUGUUGCUGAUUGACGGGAUCGACAACGAGAGGGUACUUCCCUGGGCUCGGCACACGGUCGGGGGGUCGCCCUGGUCGAAGGUGAUGGGCUUGUCGGACCAGUCCAGGUAGACUGGCGCCGCCACCUUUACCGAGCAGACCUCCCGGCGCUCUUGCUUGCGGUGCCGAGUUGAGGCGUUUGCCACAUGCCCACCGUAGAUCAUGAAGCAGUCGUGGACCUCGGGGAACUCCUCUGCCUUGUGAUCCUCCUUCUUGUUGUUGUUGUGGGCUCGGCCACCUUCCGCCGGUGGCCUGGCCCUGUGGAAGUGGCGCCGAAGCAUGACGCAUUCCUCAAGGGUGUGCUUAACGGGACCCUGAUGAUAGGGGCACAGCUCCUUGAGCAUUUUGUCGAACAGGUUGGCGCCUCCGGGAGGCUUCCGAGGGUUCCUAUGCUCGGCGGCGGCGACAAGGUCCGCGUCGGCGGCGUCGCGUUUCGCUUGCGACUUCUUCUUGCCCUUCUUCCUCGCGCCGCACUGAGCAGACGCCUGAGAGCACCUAGAGGGGGGGUGAAUAGGUGAUCCUGUAAAACUUAAAACUUAACACCACAAACUUGAUUAAGAGUUAGUAUAAUGAAAUCAAGUGAGUAGAGAGAAGAGCUCUUGUGAAGCACAAUAGACACAAUAAGGACAAGCACAAGAGUCACGAGGAUUUUAUCUCGUGGUUCGGCCAAGUACAAAACUUUCCUACUCCACAUUGUGGCGUCCCAAUGGACGAGAGUUGCACUCAACUCCUCUCAAGUGAUCCAAUGAUCAACUUGAAUACCACGGUGUUCUUUUUACUUUGCUCUUUUCCUGUUUGCGAGGAAUUUCCACAACUUGGAGUCUCUCGCCCUUACAAUAAGAAUCAAUAUGAAGCACACGAGUAAGGGAGGGAAGCAACACACUCAAAAACCACAGCAAAUACGCACACACACGAUCAAGACUUGAGCUCAAGACAAUAUCUCAAGGUUCUCACUAGAACAGAGCUCAAAUCACUAAGAAUGUCGAACUAGUGCGCAAGGGUGAACUGUGAAUGAUCAACAAUGCUCAAAGGUUGCUUGGUAUCCUCCUCCAUGCGCCUAGGGGUCCCUUUUAUAGCCCCAAGGCAGCUAGGAGCCGUUGAGAGCAUUCCAGGAAGGCAAUUCUUGCCUUCUGUCGCCUGGCGCACCGGACAGUCCGGUGCACCACCGGACACUGUCCGGUGCGGAUCUCUUUCCUUAUUUGGCGAAGCCGACCGUUGGCGCUUUGGAGCCAUUGGCACACCGGACACUGUCCGGUGCACACCGGAUAGUCCGGUGCUCCCCUUCCGACCGUUGGCUCGGCCACGUGUCCCGCGCCGGAUCGCGUGGCUGACCGUUGGCCCGGCCGACCGUUGGCUCACCGGACAGUCCGGUGAAUUAUAGCCGUACGCCGUUAAUCAUUUCCCGAGAGCAGCAAGUUCGCCUGAGCCAGCCUGGCGCACCGGACACUAUCCGGUGCACCACCGGACACUGUCCGAUGCACCACCGGACACUGUCCGAUGCACCACCGGACAGUCCGGUGCACCCAGACAGAGCUGACUAUGGCUGAAUAAAGCCAUCUUUAAUCGCAACUUGAUUUUUCCUGUUUCCAGCACUUAGACACAAUACAUUAGUCUCUAAAACAAUGUACUAAGUCUGAGAAACAUACCUUUAUACUUGGUUUGCACUUUGUCCACCAUUUAACACUUAGGCACUUGUGUUGGACACUAAAUCACCAAAAUACUUAGAAAUGGCCCAAGGGCACAUUUCCCUUUCAAUCUCCCCCUUUUUGGUGAUUUUAUGCCAACACAACAUAAAGCAAGUAGAACAAGUGCAAAAUCACUUCAAAUAAGAACUCAAAAUUGUUUUUAUUCAAAUUUGACAUAUAUGGAUCAUUCUUUACCACCACUUGGUUUGUUUUUGCAAAUCAAACUCAAUUUCCUAUCUCUAAGUCAAACACACAUGUUGAAACAUAAAGAGAGAUUUUUCACGAGAAAUUGAUCAAGGAUUCAAAAACUCCCCCUUUGUCCCAUAAUGAAGCCUUCUCCCCAUAAGAGACCAACUUUUGACAAUAAGAGACAAACACGAGUAUUUUGACAAACAAAAACUAUAACUCUACUAUUUUCAAAAUUCACAAGUGGUAGCUGAUCCAUUUCUUGCUUUGGCCGUAUUUUCUCCCCCUUUGGCGUCAAACACCAAAACAGGAUCAACUUUGGCCCUUUAACCCCAUUGCCUCACCAAAAUCUUCAACUAAGAGUAAAAAGGCAAUAAGAGUACAAAGAUGAACUUGGAAAAGUUACUCUUUCAUCGGAGUGCAGUGGAAGUCUUGCAUGGUCCAAGUCCACCUUUUCCCUUGCAAACUCAAGCAUACAGUUAGUCUCAAAGGGUCAAGUUGUAGCACAUCUCCCCCUAUAUAUGUGCAUCACUUGCAAGUGGACUUGUGAGGUCCGGGGAGUGCUUGUACAACUUGAGCACCAUAAAUAAACAACAAUAUGUAUUAAGGAACAUGAUCAAGGCAUAAACACAUGUAUGCUAUAAAUCAAUCCAAGUUCCGCGAAUCUAAGACAUUUAGCUCACUACGCAACUUGCAAAAGGUCUGCUCAUCUAAAGGCUUGGUAAAGAUAUCGGCUAGCUGGUUUUCGGAGCUAACAUGAAACACUUCGAUAUCUCCCUUUUGCUGGUGGUCUCUCAAAAAGUGAUGCCGGAUGUCUAUGUGCUUUGUGCGGCUGUGUUCAACAGGAUUAUCCGCCAUGCGGAUAGCACUCUCAUUAUCACAUAGGAGUGGGACUUUGCUCAGAUUGUAGCCAAAGUCCCUGAGGGUUUGCCUCAUCCAGAGUAGUUGCGCGCAACACUGUCCUGCGGCAACGUACUUGGCCUCAGCGGUGGAUAGGGCAACGGAAGUUUGUUUCUUAGAGCUCCAUGACACCAGGGACCUUCCUAAGAAUUGGCACGUCCCUGAUGUACUCUUCCUAUCGACCUUACAUCCAGCAUAGUCGGAGUCUGAAUAUCCAAUCAAGUCAAAGGUAGACCCCUUUGGAUACCAGAUCCCGAAGCAAGGCAUAGCAACUAAGUAUCUAAGAAUUCGCUUCACUGCCACUAAGUGACACUCCCUUGGAUCAGAUUGAAAUCUAGCACACAUGCAUACGCUAAGCAUAAUAUCCGGUCUACUAGCACAUAAAUAAAGUAAAGACCCUAUCAUAGACCGUUAUGCCUUUUGAUCAACGGACUUACCUCCUUUGUUGAGGUCGGUGUGUCCGUCGGUUCCCAUUGGAGUCUUUGCGGGCUUGGCAUCCUUCAUCUCAAACCGUUUGAUCAAGUCUUGCGUGUAUUUUGUUUGGGAGAUGAAGGUCCCAUCCUUGAGUUGCCUCACUUGGAACCCAAGGAAAUAGCUUAACUCGCCCAUCAUCGACAUUUCGAACUUUUGAGUCAUCACCCUGCUAAACUCUUCACAAGACUUUUGGUUAGUAGAACCAAAUAUUAUGUCAUCGACAUAAAUUUGGCACACAAAAAGAUUACCAUCACAAGUCUUAGUAAAAAGAGUUGGAUCGGCUUUCCCAACCUUGAAAGCAUUAGCAAUUAAGAAGUCUCUAAGGCAUUCAUACCAUGCUCUUGGGGCUUGCUUAAGUCCAUAGAGCGCCUUAGAGAGCUUACACACGUGGUCGGGGUACCAUUCAUCCUCGAAGCCAGGGGGUUGCUCUACGUACACCUCCUCCUUGAUUGGCCCGUUGAGGAAAGCGCUCUUCACAUCCAUUUGGAAUAACCUGAAAGAAUGGUGAGCGGCAUAUGCUAGCAAAAUGCGAAUGGACUCUAGCCUAGCCACAAAAGCAAAAGUCUCCUCAAAGUCCAAACCUGCGACUUGGGCAUAACCUUUUGCCACAAGUCUAGCCUUGUUCCUUGUCACCACCCCGUGCUCAUCUUGUUUGUUGCGAAACACCCACUUGGUUCCCACAACAUUUUGCUUGGGACGAGGCACCAGUGUCCAAACUUCUUUUCUCUUGAAGUUAUUGAGCUCCUCUUGCAUGGCCAACACCCAGUCCGGAUCUAGCAAGGCCUCCUCUACCCUGAAAGGCUCAAUAGAAGAGACAAAAGAGUAAUGCUCACAAAAAUUAAGUAAUCGAGACCGAGUAGUUACUCCCUUGCUAAUAUCACCCAAAAUCUGGUCGACGGGAUGAUCCCUUUGAAUCAUCGCUCGAACUUGGGUUGGAGGUGCCGGUUGCGCUUCUUCCUCCAUUACUUGAUCAUCUUGUGCUCCCCCUUGAUCACUUGCCUCCUUUUGAUGAACCUGUUCAUCAUCUUGAGUUGGGGGAUGCACCAUUGUUGAGAAAGAAGGUUGAUCUUGCUCCUUUUGUUCCAUUGGCCUCACAUCUCCAAUCGCCAUGGUGCGCAUUGCGGCCGUUGGAACGUCUUCUUCAUCUACAUCAUCAAGAUCAACAACUUGCUCUCUUGGAGAGCCAUUAGUCUCAUCAAAUACAACGUCGCUAGAGACUUCAACCAAACCCGAUGAUUUGUUGAAGACCCUAUACGCCUUUGUAUUUGAGUCAUAACCUAACAAAAACCCUUCUACGGCUUUGGGAGCAAAUUUGGAAUUCCUACCCUUCUUCACUAGAAUGUAGCAAUUACUCCCAAAAACUCGAAAAUACGAAACAUUGGGUUUGUUACCGGUUAGUAGCUCAUACGAAGUCUUCUUAAGGAGACGAUGAAGGUAGACCCGGUUGAUGGCGUGGCAAGCCGUGUUCACGGUUUCCGACCAAAAGCACUUGGGGAUCUUGAACUCUCCAAGCAUCGUCCUUGCCAUGUCUAUAAGCGUCCUGUUCUUCCUCUCUACCACACCAUUUUGCUGUGGUGUGUAGGGAGCGGAGAACUCGUGCUUGAUUCCUUCCUCCUCAAGAUACUCCUCCACUUGAAGGUUCUUGAACUCGGACCCAUUGUUGCUUCUUAUCUUCUUCACCUUGAGUUCAAACUCAUUUUGAGCUCUCCUUAGGAAGCGCUUGAGGGUCCCUUGGGUUUCAGAUUUAUCCUACAAAAAGAAUACCCAAGUGAAGCGGGAAAAAUCAUCAACUAUAACAAGACCAUACUUACUUCCUCCUAUGCUUAGAUAGGCGACGGGUCCGAAGAGGUCCAUAUGAAGUAACUCCAGGGAUCUUGAUGUUGUCAUCACAUUUUUGGCAUGAUGAGAGCUUCCCACCUGUUUCCUUGCUUGACAAGCUGCACAAGGUCUAUCUUUUUCGAAUGUAACAUUAGUUAGACCUAUCACGUGUUCUCCCUUUAGAAUCUUGUAAAGGUUCUUCAUCCCCACAUGUGCUAAGCGGCGAUGCCAUAGCCAGCCCAUGCUAGUCUUAGCAAUUAAGCAUGCAUCUAGACCGGCCUCAUCUUUUGCAAAAUCAACUAAAUAAAGUUUGUCGUCUAAUACACCCUUAAAAGCUAAUGAACCAUCACUUCUUCUAAAGACAGACACAUCUACAUUUGUGAAUAAACAAUUAUAUCCCAUAUUACAUAAUUGACUUACGGAUAAUAAAUUAUAUCCAAGAGACUCUACUAAGAAUACAUUAGAAAUAGAGUGCUCAUUUGAGAUUGCAAUCUUGCCUAAACCUUUCACCUUGCCUUGGUUCCCAUCACCGAAUAUAAUUGAGUCUUGGGGAUCCUUGUUCUUGAUGCAGGAAGAGAACAUCCUCUUCUCCCCCGUCAUGUGGUUUGUGCAUCCGCUGUCGAUAAUCCAGCUUGAGCCCCCGGAUGCAUAAACCUGCAAGGCAAAUUUAGGCUUGGGUCUUAGGUACCCAACUCUUGUUGGGUCCUACAAGGUUAGUACAAAUUGCCUUAGGGACCCAAAUGCAAGUUUUAUCUCCCUUGCAUUUUGCCCCUAAUUUUCUAGCAACUACUUUCAUAUCCUUUCUACAAAUAGCAAAGGAGGCAUUUAAAGCAUGAUAAAUUGUAGAAGGUUCAUUAACUUUCCUAGGGACAUUAGCAACAUUUCUCCUAGGCAUAUGAUGAACAACAUUUCUCCUAGCUAAAUUUCUAUCAUGCACAUAGGAAGAGCUUGAAGCAAUCAUUGCAUUUGAACCAUAAGCAUUACAAUUCCUAUCAUGAUGAACAUUUCUAGCAAAUUUCCUAUCAUGGUAUAAGAAAGCAUGGUUCUUUUGCACACUAUUUACCAUAGAGGCCUUCCCUUUCUCCUUGGCGGAGAUGGAAGCCUUAUGGCUUGUUAAGUUCUUGACUUCCCUCUUGAAGCCAAGACCAUCCUUAAUUGAGGGGUGUCUACCAAUCGUGUAGGCAUCCCUUGCAAAUUUCAACUUUUCAAAUUCAUUCUUGCUAGUCUUAAGUUGGGCAUUAAGACUAGCCACUUCAUCAUUUAAUUUUGAAAUGCAAACUAAGUGUUCACUACAAGCAUCAACAUUAAAGUCUUUGCACCUAUUGCAAAUUUCUACACAAGAGUUAGAUUUAUUUGCUACUUCUAGUUUAGCAUUUAAAUCAUCAUUAACACUCUUUAAAGAAGAAAUGGUUUCAUGACAAGUAGAUAGUUUACAAGAAAGCAUUUCAUUCCUUUUAACUUCUAGAGCAAGAGAAUUUUGAGCACUAACAAAUUUAUCAUGCUCUUCAUAUAAAAGGUCCUCUUGUUUUUCUAGUAGUCUAUUCUUGUCAUUCAGAGCAUCAAUCAAUUCAUUAAUCUUAUCGAUCUUAGUUCUAUCUAAGCCUUUGAAUAAGCAUGAGUAAUCUAUUUCAUCAUCAUCACUAGACUCAUCCUCGCUCGAAGAAGCAUAAGUAGUAUUGUUUCGAGUACAUACCUUCUUCUCCUAUGCCAUGAGGCAUGUGUGAUGCUCGUUGGGGAAGAGUGAUGACUUGUUGAAGGCGGUGGCGGCGAGUCCUUCAUUGUCGGAGUCAGACGAGGAGCAAUCCGAAUCCCACUCCUUUCCAAGAUGUGCCUCGCCCUUCGCCUUCUUGUAGUUCUUUUUCUUCUCCCACUUUCCACUCUUCUUUUACUGGUCACUAUCAUUAUCAGGACAGUUAGCGAUAAAAUGACCAAUCUUACCACAUUUGAAGCAGGAGCGCUUCCCCUUCGUUUUGUUCUUGUUGGGGUGCUCCUUGCGACCUUUUAGCGCCGUCUUGAACCGCUUGAUGAUAAGGGCCAUCUCUUCAUCAUUAAGCCCGGCCGCCUCAACUUGAGCCACCUUGCUCGGUAGCGCUUCCUUGCUUCUUGUCGCUUUGAGGGCAACGGUUUGAGGCUCGUGGAUUGGGCCAUUCAAUGCAUCAUCCACGUAUCUCGCCUCCUUGAUCAUCAUUUGCCCGCUUACAAAUUUUCCAAGAAUUUCUUCGGGCGACAUCUUGGUGUACCUAGGAUUUUCAUGAAUAUUGUUUACCAAAUGUGGAUCAAGUACGGUAAAGGACCUUAGCAUUAGGCGAACGACGUCGUGGUCCGUCCAUCGCGUGCUUCCAUAGCUCCUUAUUUUGUUGACAAGGGUCUUGAGCCUGUUGUACGUUUGGGUUGGAUCCUCCCCCCUUAUCAUCGCAAAUCUCCCGAGUUCGCCUUCCACCAACUCCAUCUUGGUGAGCAUGGUGACGUCGUUCCCCUCAUGUGAGAUCUUGAGGGUGUCCCAAAUCUUCUUGGCGUUAUCCAAGCCGCUCACUUUAUGGUAUUCAUCCCUGCACAAAGAUGCUAGAAGAACAGUAGUAGCUUGUGCAUUUUUGUGAAUUUGCUCAUUUAUGAACAUGGGACUAUCACUACUAUCAAAAUGCAUUCCAUUCUCAACUAUCUCCCAUAUGCUUGGAUGGAGAGAGAACAAAUGACUACACAUUUUGUGACUCCAAAAUAUGUAGUCCUCUCCAUCAAAGUGAGGAGGUUUACCAAGUGGAAUGGAGAGUAAAUGAGCAUUUGUGCUUUGCGGAAUACAAGAAUAAUCAAAAGAAAAGUUUGAAUUGACCGUUUUCUUUUUCUCGUAGUCGUCAUCGUCCUUUUGGGAAGAAGUGGAUUCGUCGCUGUCGUCGUAGUAGAUGAUCUCCUUGAUGCGCCUUGUCUUCUUCUUCUUCCCAUCUCUUCUUUUGUGGCUCGAGCCCGAGUCCAUAGACUUGUCAUCUUUCGGCUCAUUGAAGAUAGACUCCUUCUCGUUGUUGUUGACCACCAUCCCCUUUCCCUUAGGAUCCAUCUCUUCGGGCGAUUAGUCCCUUCUUGAAGAGAACGGCUCCGAUACCAAUUAAGAGCACCUAGAGGGGGGGUGAAUAGGUGAUCCUGUAAAACUUAAAACUUAACACCACAAACUUGAUUAAGAGUUAGUAUAAUGAAAUCAAGUGAGUAGAGAGGAGAGCUCUUGUGAAGCACAAUAGACACAAUAAGGACAAGCACAAGAGACACAAGGAUUUUAUCCCGUGGUUAGGCCAAGUACAAAACUUGCCUACUCCACGUUGUGGCGUCCUAAUGGACGAGAGUUGCACUCAACACCUCUCAAGUGAUUCAAUGAUCAACUUGAAUACCACGGUGUUCUUUUUACUUUGCUCUUUUCCCGUUUGCGAGGAAUUUCCACAACUUGGAGUCUCUCGCCCUUACAAUAAGAAUCAAUAUGAAGCACACGAGUAAGGGAGGGAAGCAACACACUCAAAAACCACAGCAAAUACGCACACACACGAUCAAGACUUGAGCUCAAGACAAUAUCUCAAGGUUCUCACUAGAACAGAGCUCAAAUCACUAAGAAUGUCGAACUAGUGCGCAAGGGUGAAGUGUGAAUGAUCAACAAUGCUCAAAGGUUGCUUGGUAUCCUCCUCCAUGCGCCUAGGGGUCCCUUUUUUAGCCCCAAGGCAGCUAGGAGCCGUUGAGAGCAUUCCAGGAAGGCAAUUCUUGCCUUCUGUCGCCUGGCGCACCGGACAGUCCGGUGUACCACCGGACACUGUCCGGUGCGGAUCUCUUUCCUUAUUUGGCGAAGCCGACCGUUGGCGCUUUGGAGCCGUUGGCGCACCGGACACUGUCCGGUGCACAUCGGUCAGUCCGGUGCUCCUUUUCCGACCGUUGGCUCGGCCACGUGUCCCGCGCGGAUCGCGCGGCCGACCGUUGGCCCGGCCGACCGUUGGCUCACCGGACAGUCCGGUGCACACCGGAUAGUCCGGUGAAUUAUAGCCGUACGCCGUUAAUCAUUUCCCGAGAGCAGCAAGUUCGCCUGAGCCAGCCUGGCGCACCGAACACUGUUCGGUGCACCACCGGACAGUCCGGUGCACCCAGACAGAGCUGACUAUUGCUGAACAAAGCCAUCUUUAAUCUCAACUUGAUUUUUCCUGUUUCCAGCACUUAGACACAAUACAUUAGUCUCUAAAACAAUGUACUAAGUCAGAGAAACAUACCUUUAUACUUGGUUUGCACUUUGUCCACCAUUUAACACUUAGGCACUUGUGUUGGACACUAAAUCACCAAAAUACUUAGAAAUGGCCCAAGGGCACAUUUCCCUUUCAACGCCUCAAGGACGUCUUCCGGCUGGCGCCCCUGAGGCUGCUUGUCCUUCCGAAAGAUGGCCUCGACCGCCUCCUGACCAGAGGCGAACUUGGUGGCGAUGUCCAUCAGCUCGCUCGCCUUGGUGGGAGUCUUGCGACCCAGUUUGCUCACCAGGUCGCGGCAAGUGGUGCCGGCGAGGAAUGUGCCGAUGACAUCCGAGUCGGUGAUGUUGGGCAACUCGGUGCGCUGCUUCGAAAAUCGCCGGAUGUAGUCCCGGAGGGAUUCUCCUGGCUGCUGGCGGCAGCUUCGGAGAUCCCACGAGUUCCCAGGGCGCACGUAUGUGCCCUGGAAGUUGCCGGCGAAGGCUUUGACCAGGUCGUCCCAUUUGGAGAUCUGCGCAGGAGGCAGAUGCUCCAGCCAGGCUCAGGCGGCGUCGGAGAGGAACAGGGGAAGGUUGUGGAUGAUGAGGUUGUCAUCGUCCGUCCCACCCAGCUGGCAGGCCAGCCGGUAGUCCACGAGCCACAGCUCCGGCUUUGACUCCCCCGAGUACUUGGUGAUGGUAGUUGGGGUUCAGAACCGGGUCGAGAACGACGCCCAUCGUAUGGCCCGGCUGAAAGCCCGCGGACCGGGUGGUUCGGGUGAGGGGCUCCGAUCCUCCCCGCUGUCGUAGCGUCCCCCACGCCUGGGGUGGUAGCCUUGGUGCACCCUCUCGUCGAGGUGGGCUCGACGGUCGCGGCGCGGGUGCUCGUUGCCGUGGCAACCCGGGGCCGCAGGCGCUGAGUUCCGCGUUUGCCUGGUGUGGACCGAGGCUUCCCGCAUGAAUCGGGAAGUCGCGGCACGAUGCUCCGGGGGUACCCCUGCCUUCGGGAGGCAGAGCUUUCGGCCUGUCGGACCGCGACAUCUUCCAGGAGAUUCUUGAGCUCUCCCUGGAUGCGCCGCCCCUCGGGGGUGGAUGGUUCCGGCAUCGCUCGGAGUAGUAUCGCUACUGCUGCCAGGUUCUGGCCGACCCCACUGGAAGCCGGAGGCAGCCUUGCCCUAGCAAUGUCGGCGAUGCGGUGCUGGACGUCCUGGGCCCGGUGACACGCUUCUCCGCCCGGUGCUCGGCCUGCCCACUCCUGCCUGAUAUUUUGCCGAAGCUGCACAAGUUGUCCUGCUUCCUCGUCGAGCCUGGCCUGUACCUCGCGGAUUUGCUCGAGCUGUGCGUCCUGACCCCUCGAAGGGACUGGGACCACAGCUAGCUUCCGAAGGAUGUCAACGCGAGGCGCAGGCCUAGGGGGAUCACCGUCCUCCGGCAUACCAAGAUGGUUGCCUUCGUCGAGACCCCCUAGAUCGACGUGGAAGCAUUCGCAACUUGGGCCACAGUCCUCGUUGCCGAGGCUGUGGCUGCUAUCGGAGCAAUCAGAGAGGCAGUAGUCACAUGCGGUCAUGAAGUCCCGCAUGGCACUGGGGAUAUCGAGCCCGGAGAAAUCCCAACCAGAGUUGGGCUCGUCAUCUUCCUCGGAACCCAGAGGCCCGUAGGUCGAGACGGCCGUCAGCCGGUCCCAGGGUGACCGCAUAUGGUACCCCAGAGGGUUUGGACACGCCUUUACAAAAGCGUCGACCGAAGCGGGGUCGCUUGGUGGGUCGCAGCUGGAUCUAAAAGGCAUGGAAUGGGAAAUGGACGGUACCUCUUGAUCGAUGGGUGGUGACGAAGUCGCGUCAGGGACGGACUGCACCGUUGUCUCAGGUACGAGGCUAACGCCCAGCAUGUCCUUCGCGAGCGUGCUGGCGUUGUCCGUCUGCUUGGAGUUGGCGUGUUGCGGGGAAACGGCGCUCGCCUUCGUCUCAGAUGCGAGGUCGACGCCCGACGUGUCCCCCGUUAGGGCGCCGGCGUCGUCGACUCGCUCGAUAGCUGACGAGGUGCCGCCUCCUGCUUGGCCAUGCCUGCCCCGCCUCCUCCUCCGUCGGCGGGGAAGGCGACGGGACAGACCCGGAUGUUGCUCUUCCGCCAUGAGGGGAAGACGUCAUCGAUUCCGCCGCCGGCGGGCGGACUGACGGCCGCCAUUGUCAUUGUCGCGCGGCGGAGGAAGGAGUAUCAUGUCGUAGCUGCCGUCGAGGGACAUGAACUCCAGGCUCCCGAAACGAAGCAUCGUCUCGGGUUGAAGAGGUUGCUGGAGACUACCCAUCUGGAGCUUGACAGGAAGCUGUUCAUCAACACACAGCAGGCCCCUACCUGGCACGCCAACUGUCGGCGUUUCGACCCCGGGGGGUCCCUGGACCGACGAGUAAAUUGUCGCCGCGUGUCCCAGCCUAGAUGGGUCGGCGUGAGACGGAGCACGAAGGGGGAAGAAACAGGCAAAGGGGAAACCCGCGGCCUUCGUGUUGCCCUACGCCCAGGUCGGGUGCGCUUGCAGUAGGGGGGUUACAAGCGUCCGCGAGGGAGAGAGAGAGAGACUGUCCGCCAGCCCGUUCUCCCGCGCAGCCAACCUUCUCGUACGAGAGCCCUAGACCUUCCUUUUAUAGGCGUAAGGAGAGGGCUCAGGUGUACAAUGGGGGGUGUAGCAGUGUGCUAACGUGUCUAGCAAAGAGGAGCUAGAGCCCUAAGUACAUGCCGUCGUGGCAGUCGGAGAGGUUUUGGCACCCUGUUCAUAUGAUGUCGUGGCCGUCGGAGGAGCGCUUGGGCCCUGUGGAAGGACAGUUGUCGGGGCUGUCGGAUCCUUGCUGACGUCUCCUUGCUUCCGUAAGGGGCUGAGAACCGCUAUCGUCAUGGAGCAGGCGGGGCGCCAUCAUUACUUGUUUACCGGGGCGAGCCAGAUGGGACGCCAGUCUUAUUCCCCGUAGCCUGAGCUAGCUAGGGGUAGGGUAAUGAUGGCCCCCCUGUGACGUGGUCGGUCCGAGCCCGAGGUCGGGCGAGGCAGAGGCUCCUCUGAGGUUGAGGUCGAGUCUGUGCCCUGGGUCGGGCGAGGUGGAGACCGUCUUCCGAGGCCGAGGAUGAGUCUGAGCCCUAGGUCGGGCGAGGCGGAGACCGUCUUCCGAGGCCGAGGCUGAGUCCGAGCCCUGGGUUGGGCGAGGCGGAGUCCGUCUUCCGGGGUCGAGGCUGAGUCCGAGCCCUGGGUCGGGCGAGGCAGAGACCAUCUUCCGAGGCCGAGGCUGAGUCCGAGCCCUGGGUCGGGCAAGGCGGAGUCCGUCUUCCGGGGUCGAGGCUGAGUCCGAGCCCUGGGUCGGGCGAGGCGGAGCUUCCCAUGGCGCCCAAGACUGGACUUAGCUGCUGUCAGCCUCACUCUAUCGAGUGGCACAACAGUCAGAGCGGGGCAGGCGGCGCUGUUUUCCUAUCAGGUCGGUCAGUGGAGCGGCGAAGUGACUGCGGUCACUUCGGCUCUGUCGACUGAGGAGCGCGUGUCAGGAUAAGGUGUCAGUCGACCCUUGCAUUAAAUGCUCCUGUGAUAUGGUCGGUUGGCGUGGCGAUCUGGCCAAGGUUGCUUCUCCGUGAAGACUGGGCCUCGGGCGAGUCGAAGGUGUGUCCGUCGCUUGAGGGGGCCCUCGGGCGAGACGUGAAUCCUCCGGGGUCGGCUGCCUUUGCCCAAGGCUGGGCUCAGGUGAGGCGAGAUCGUGUCCCUUGAGUGGACUGAGCCUUGACCUUAAUCGCGCCCAUCAGGCCUUUGCAGCUUUGUGCUGAUGGGGGUUACCAGAUGAGAUUAGGAGCCUUGGGGGUACCCCUAAUUAUGGUCGCCGACAUCUGUUGUCUUGCAUUGAGACACAUCCCAAUCUAGUACCGGAAGCAUCGCAAUACACUUCAAAGGGCUUGGUGUUGUCAGGUUGAGCUAGCACUGGGGCUGUUGUCAAGUGUUGCCUUAGUGUAUGGAAGGCAUCUUCACACUUCUGGCUCCAAUUAUACUUGACUCCCUUCUUCAACAGUUCAGUCAUUGGCUUGGCAAUUCUGGAGAAAUCCAGAAUGAAUCGUCGAUAAUACCCUGCCAAUCCCAGAAAACUCUGAAUCUGCCUCACUGUAGUAGGAGGUUUCCAAUCCAUUACUUCUUGUACCUUCUCAGGAUCAACUGAUAUCCCAUUCUAAGAAAUUGUGUGACCCAAGAAUUUAAUUUCUCUCAGCCAGAAUUCACAUUUAGACAACUUAGCAUAAAGACGAUGAUCGUGCAGUUGCUGAAGCACGAUGUGCAGAUGCUCAGUAUGCUCGUCUUUAUUCUUGGAAUAGACCAGGAUAUCAUCAAUGAAAACCACGACAAAUUUGUCCAUCUCUGGCAUGAAUACUGAGUUCAUCAGGUACAUGAAAUAAGUCGGGGCAUUGGUCAGCCCAAAAGACAUCACCAAGAACUCAUAGAGCCCAUAUCUGGUAGAGAAAGCAGUCUUUGGAAUAUCACUGGCACGGAUCUUGAUCUGAUGGUAGCCCGAGCGAAGGUCUAUCUUGGAGAAAACCUUGGCUCCCACCAACUGAUCAAACAAAACAUCAAUGCGGGGCAGUGGGUAUUUGUUCUUGAUGGUCAUCGCAUUGAGAGGGCGGUAAUCAACACACAUUCUCAAACUCUCAUCCUUUUUCUUCACAAAUAAGGCCGGACAUCCCCACAGUGAAGUACUUGGGCGAAUGAACCCCUUGUCCAACAACUCUUGCAGUUGCUUCUUUAAUUCUGCCAAUUCUGCUGAAGGCAUAUCCUAUAGGGUCUCUUGGAGAUAGGAGCGGUCCCGGGUUGCAAUUCAAUUGCGAACUCAAUGUCUCUAUCAGGUGGCAUCCCUGGCAAUUCGUCCGGAAAAACAUCUUGGUAGUCACGGACCACUGGGAUCCUUUCCACUGGGGACUCUAUCAUAAUGAAGGCACAAGAACGGGUACAACCCUGGUCGGGCAAAUAUAAUGUGGUUUCACCACAGGUCGGUGAGUGCACUUCAAUGGCCCUAGCUGCAAUAUUAAUCACUGCCUGAUGUUUGGUCAACCAGUCAGUUCCCAAUAUGAUAUCCACGCUAUCUAAACCCAAAAUGAGGAGGUUGGUUUUGAUUAUUAGGCUACCAAACUUUAUAGGCACAUUCUUGUUGAUUUGGUAGGUGGCAACCCUGCCUCCUGGUGUGGAAAUUGUAAUACCCCCAUUGGUGUGGUGAAAAGGUAAUUGACACUUGGCACUAAAUUUGGUACUGAUAAAACUAUGUGAUGCACCAGAAUCGAAGAUAAUAAUAGCCAUAUAAUUCAGAACUGUAAAGAUACCAGUCAUGACAGGUGCUCCCUCUAGAAUAUCAACCAUGGUGGUGAAGUUCAGCCUGCCUUGCCUCACUUGCACCUUCUGCCUCUUGCCUUGGUUCUGAUUAACAUUCUGUCCCUACCUCUGCUAGUUUCUGGGGCAAUUCUUGGCAUAAUGUCCGGUGUUACCACAAGUGAAACACCUGUUGUCAUUUGCCUGACGAUAUUGCUGCUGCUGUUGAUUGUUCCUCUGAGCUGGAAACUAAGUGCGGUUGGGUGCCUGCUGCUGCUGCUGCUGUGGUCGGAUCACCCAUCGCCCUUGCUGCUGCUGAGAUCCUCUGUUCUGAGUGUCAGACACGAUCCUGAAGCGCUGUGGCUGAGCUGAAGGUCCUGCCACAGUGGUCUUCCUCUUCUUCUCUGCUUGACGAGCUGUGAUACAGUCCUCCUGAGAAAUGGCCAUGUUGACUAACUCAUUAUAGCUGUUGGCCCUGACUGUGUUGAGACGGUCACGGAGCUUAGUGCUGAGCCCCCUCCUGAACCUGUCCCCUAAAAGCUGCCUUGAACUCUCUCCAUUCCACCUCUCGGUCAUCUGGCUGCAUAGCAAGAAAAUGGUCCCACCAUGUCCGCGCGGGACCGUGAAGCUACUGGGUGGCGAACCUGACCUUAGUGACCUCUGAACAAACUCCAUGGAGUAGCGGGAAUUUGGAUUCCACCACUCUCAACCAUACAUCCACAUCAAGUGGGUCCUCUGCCCUGGUGAACAAUGGUGGCUGGGUACUGAGGAACUCCUGGUAGGUGGCUGCCGCGGGGUGACGCUGAUGAUCACCACCACCAUAGUGCUGAGGUGGUGGCUGACGCUGAGCUAGCUGUCUCAAGAUCUCAUUCUGCUGAGCCAUUAGCUCCUACAGAGUAGGAGGCGGUGGCGGUGGUGGAGGAACUCGCUCAUUUUGACCACGACAUGCUCUCCCGGCCAUCUGAAAAAUCACAUAUAUUUUCAAUAAUACAACUUUGAGGUUCAAGGUUCAAUCGCGGCGAAAGAGUCAAAGGCGAAAUCGAUAGAUUCUUACAUAAUCACAAAAGAUUUCACAUGGCAUAAACUUUUCUUCUUAAAUUAAGACUGACGUCAUUUAUCAACCAUGCUUCCAAAAGAGUUCAUCGCGAUUACAUCAAUACCCCAAAAGACUCAACUCUAUCUAGCCUAGUACCCCAAGGGUGCAAAAGCUAAGCUAGCUUCGAGGAGUUCUACCCUCAUCGACUUCUAACUCUAUCUCUGCGACCUAGUGAGCAGACGAGGCAACACUCGACUCGGGGGAAGGUGGUCUCCCUGAGCCAGCAGUGUCCAAGCUGGAGGCAGGCUCCUCUCCUCCCUCGAUGUCGACAUCCUCGUUGGCCUCCAAAUCCUGGAUCUCCUGGUGAUGCAUAUCCAGGUGCUCGUUAGCCUCCGCAAGUUGCUGCUGAGUGUUGAUAAGCUGAUCCUCGAGAACCUCGAUGGUGUUCUCCCUGGUUCCCACUAGUUCCUCAAGCUCUUGGAUCUCAUUUGACAGUUGCUCCACCUGUAAGUCCUUUUCCACCAUCUCAGCGGAUAAGUCAACCACAAGCUCCUCUCUGUUAUCCAAGGUGAUCUUAGUUGCCUCCAACAAUGCCAUCAGAUGAGACAUUGCCUCACCAUGCAUCACUUGCAGACGAUACAGGGCAUUCAUGCACCGCACCAUCAAGUGAGCAGUCUGGCCUGGGUAGAUAGCCCAGAUGUCCUUGGCAUGCUCCACUCGGUCCUUCCACAUUGGGUCGUCCUCCCUCUCAGCGGGGAACAAGCCAAUGGGGUGAAUGGACAGCUCCAAGGGGUGGAAUCCGCAGAAGGUGGUCAGUCCGUGAAGGGCAAUCACCUCGAUCGUAUCCUCAGCCCGGUAUCCAAAGGACUCAGAGUCUAGCGAACGCCAGCCUGGCUGCAGGGGAUGAGGCUCUAGGGUCAUCCUCACCCUACACCGGGGCACUCGGUGCUUUUCGAACUGCUGCACCGCGUACUGAGGAGGCGUCGUGUAACCAGCCCCCUGAAGUACCUCCCACAAAAUACGGGGAAAACCCUCUCGUGCAAGCCCGUCAGUGUGGGACUGUGCAUUCCCUUCGUCCGAUGAUCCGUGAGAAGUCAUCUGUGUAUGGUUAAGCGUAAGUAAAAGAAAAAGAAUUAUAAAAAGAAAAAGGGAUCACAACUCAGCCUCUCUAUAAUUACGACAGUGGUACUGGGGUGCUUAGUUUGUCAUUAUUUUGUAUUAAAGUUCUUACCCAAUUAUUUAAUAGUUUAAUUAAUAAUGCAUGCAUGCUCGUCCUAAACGACCUCACAUCCACUUAGAGAGAAUAGGGAGGAACUCCCAUCCCUUAUAGUAGCCUGUAGUGCUUACUCAAUUAGCCACCUAGCUACCCCCUAUCAUCCUAAGGCUUCACGUCCUAGGUCUAUCCUGAUCGUCCUACGAUCUAUCCAACAAUUGUUUCUAUCAAGUUUUACUUUGGAAAAGGAUGGUAUUUAUAGUUUAUUGAUUCCUCUGUGGUGGUACAAGCUCCGAUACCAGCUGUGGCGGAACUGCCCGAAUUAUUCCAACUUAAGUGCCUAAGUCCCGCCUUAGAGGCUAGACCACACUUAAAUGGGAAUAACCCAUCAAUCCCUCAGAUCUAGUCCGACGAGGCCACUGACAGGAUCAAGUACCACAAUCUCACUCGAUGGUGAGUCACAGAGCAAAUACAAUAAAGCAUAAAACCAUACAUUAAAGAGUGUUAGACUUAUUACAUCAUUAUUGGAGUUUUAGCAAAAGUAGUCAUCAUUGUUCGAACUGCAGCGGAAUAAAACUAACAAUAAUUAAACAGAGAGAUGGGGAAGCCUGUCCCAUCACUCCUCAUGCUCCUCCUCAGCCGAGGCGGGGUCCCACUCGACAGUCCAACCCGGUGGCAAGAUGGACGGCCAAGUCACUCCAGCAACCAUGUCCUCCAAGGAACCUGUAAAAUUAUGCCACAAGCAAGGCUGAGUAUACUAAUACUCAGCUAGACUUACCCGGUGUGAGGAGUCUACUCCUCUACAUCUAGACAUGCAGCUGUUUGGCUGUGGGGUUUGGUUGCCAAAAGCACUAGCUGAGUCUAAAAUUCAAGUUUUAGCUUUGUCAAGUUUAAGUGUGACUCUCUUAAGACUAAAUGUAUACCUAUCUAAUCAUACAUGGUAUCAAACAUUUAGCAAUCAACAACUUUUGCCAAGUCAUCUCAUUUCCACUUGUUACUCAAUGUAGCAGCAUGGAUCAAGCAGUCUCAUUAGCUGCGAGAAGCAGACGAUUCGAAUCGAGUUUUAUCCUUGCAAGGUAAACCUAAACACACGACGUGGUGAGGCACUCCGUCCCCACACACAUCAACCGUCCCCAUCGAUUCCCUGUCAGCAGAUCAGGGCUCACCGCCUUGGCGUACAAUGCCUCACUGACCCCGACUGCCGUCGUGUAGUGACCGCACUUGUACCCACCAUAACCGGAAUAGGAGACCACGUCUCAGGUCGCGUGAGGGGAUAUGUCCACUGCCAGGUUCACUCAGGUACUAGGCUUACCGAUUUACCAUAUUUCUCGGCAUGUGCUUAGUACGUUCAAACGCUUGACACACGGUACCACACCUUAAUCCUUAUUCCAACCACCUCGUAGACAACCAAUCCCCAUGGAUUGUUGUUCACAGGCCAACAUCAUUAUGCUAUGAAAGUGGAUACAACCAAGUCCUGACCUUGCGUGAGUGCUAGAAAAAUCACUCGACUUCUACCGAAAUCCCUAAUUAAUAAAGCAGUUACUCGGCUUAGCAUACUAGUAUUUAUCUCAAUGGGAUUCCUGAGAUCAUGCAACUAGGGUUUCAAACAACUCCUACACUUAAGUGCACAUUCAAUCCUACAAUCAUUAAGUGUAGUAAAAUAGCAUAAUAAACAGGUUAUGCAUAAACCGGGGCUUGCCUUCCAAAGCUGGGGCAGGCAGAUCCUCUGGUGCAGGCUCUGGUGCUGGAUCCGGGGCUACCUCCUGAGCAGCUCCUUGCUCCGGCACGAGGACGUACUCUCCGUCAGCGAGGUUGUAAUCUAUCGAAUGCAAUGAAUAGGAAUAUGUAUGUCAUGAUUAUGCAGGAUUUAACAAACAUUAUGCUAAAUGAAGAAAAACUAAGUUAGUUAGUAACUUAGGUUUUUCUGGUCAUACGUUGCUCUUUAGUGGUUUAUGCUUAUCAAUCUAGGUUUGGGUUUUGUUAGGGAUAAGCAUAGUGGAUUUGUAACUUGGAUUUCCCUUAGAUGUUUUAGUAGACUUUUUAACGGAUUUUGCUGGUUGGGUUAGAAUGACAUUACUCUCAUUGUUAAUUUCCUCUUUCUUUUUCUAUUUAUGAAUUCUAGGUUGGGUUUGAACUACAACAGUGAUUUAACCUAUUGCAAAAAUCCUGAAAAAUUUACAGUAGACUACUAUUGGCCCCUGUAGUCUGUCCUAGGAACUUGAGGUCCAGAAUAAAUAGAGUAUUCUUUGGACAAAAAUAACAAAAGUUGGGCAAAGGGGGUCACUUUGCACUACAACUCUUAACUAGGGGUGGGUUCUGUCCUAAGGGUCAUUUUUGCUGGUAUCUAACAGUAAUCACAAGUUUUUGUGCCAAAAAUCACAGAAGGUUAUUUGGUGGUUAUUUAGUUGUGAUUUUCUAAAGUUUAAUGUCAAAAAGGCACUUUCUACUAUCUUGUUAUUUGAAAAAUGUCAAACAACAGAUUUCAUAUUUUUCCUAUGUUCUUAAUAACAAAACAUUAAUUAUCGCAAGGGUUGGGGUGUUUUCACCUUGGGGUUAUUUUUCUAGGUUUUUUCUAAGUUUUCCUUGUUUUCUUAAAAUAAAAGGUAUCCCAAUUAUUUUAUACUAAACCAGAGUAUAAUAAAUUUUUCUAGUGAACUAUACUGAAUAAGUAAACUAACAAAAAUGUGGGUGCUCACUGGUUCUUUAUUUAAAUUACCUUUUCUAUUUUCUUGAACUUUGAGCAUAAGGUGAUUUAAAUGGCAAACUCUACCUUAAUGGGGUAUACAGAGGGGUUUAUCAUUUUUAAACAGGUUAGUAGGUGAUUAAGUACUUCUAUAAAUUUUCUUAACCUCAGUCAAAUAGUAUAGCUAUUUUUCCUUAUUUCUUUUAGCUUUUGACCAGUUAAUUAUUUAAAUCAAAACUUUAAAGUUCUCUGUAACACUUAGGGGUUUCAUAUUUUUCUUAAGUAGUCUACAUUAUUUAAGAUCUGGCAAAAUUGAUUUGACUCGAUUUGGGUGAACAAAACAGAAGUUAUGAAUUUUUCAAGUUCUGUUUGAAUUUAAAUCAGAUUGUUAAAAAGGUUUACUGGAAAAACAGUUUACACCGAGGACCCUAGGUUUAAUCCAAAUCAACACACUCAAAUCUACCCCUGUGCCACUAUUCCCCUGAGUCACUGACAGUUCAAAAAUCCCCCCGACCUUUCCUUCUUCCUGAGAGCACCUAGAGGGGGGGUGAAUAGGUGAUCCUGUAAAACUUAAACUUAUAGCCACAAAAACUUGGUUAAUUGUUAGCACAAUAAUUGCCAAGUGGCUAGAGAGGAGUCAAAACACAAUAACCACAAGAAUUCAAUCACAGAGAUGACACGGUGGUUAUCCCGUGGUUCGGCCAAGUACAAAACUUGCCUACUCCACGUUGUGGCGUCCCAACGGACGAGAGUUGCACUCAACUCCUCUCAAGUGAUCCAAUGAUCAACUUGAAUACCACGGUGUUCUUGCUUUUCUUUUCUUAUCGCGUUUGCGAGGAAUCUCCACAACUUGGAGUCUCUCACCCUUACACUAGAAGUUCACAAAGAAGCACGGAGUAAGGGAGAGAAGCAACACACACAAAUCCACAGCAAAAUGCGCACACACACUGCCAAGAAUCGAGCUCAAGAGACUAUCCUUGCCUUCUGUGCGUCGUUGAGAGCAAAUCUGGAAGGCCAUCCUUGCCUUCUGUCGUCGGGUGCACCGGACAGUCCGGUGCACACCGGACACUGUCCGGUGCCCGAUUUAUUUCCUUGAACAGCACAGUCGACCGUUGCCGACCGUUGCAGAUCUGGCGCACCGGACAUGUCCGGUGCACACCGGACAGUCCGGUGCCCUCCGGACAGUCCGGUGAAUUAUAGCCGUACGCCGUCGGCAAUUUCCCGAGAGUGGCCUCUUCGCCCGAGGCAGCCUGGCGCACCGGACACUGUCCGGUGCACCACCGGACAGUCCGGUGCCCCAGACCGAACUGAGUCUUGGCUGUACACAGCCAAGUCCUUUUCACCUCUUUUCUUUUCUUCUUCUUUCUGUUUCUAACACUUAGACAAGUAUAUUAGUACACAAAACCAAUGUACUAAGGCUUAGAAACAUACCUUUACUUGUGAUUUGCACUUUGUUCAUCCAUGGGCAUAGAUUCACAUUUAAGCACUUGUGUUUGCACUCAAUCACCAAAAUACUUAGAAAUGGCUCAAAGGCACAUUUCCCUUUCAAUCUCCCCCUUUUUGGUGAUUUAUGCCAACACAACAUAAAGCAACUAGAACGAGUGCAAAAUCACUUCAAAUGAAAUAAAUUUGAUUUGGCAUAUAUAUGGAUCAUUCUUUGCCACCACUUGGUUUGUUUUUGCAAAUCAAACUCAAAUCUCUAUCUCUAAGUCAAACACACAUGUUGAAGCAUAAAGAGAGUCAUUCCAAAAGAGAUUGAUCAAGGAUUUCAAAAACUCCCCCUAUUUCCCAUAAUCAACACUUCUCCCCACAAGAAGCCAACAUUUGACAAAAGAGACACUACAAGAGUUUUGACAAACCAAAAGCUCUAUUCUACUAUUUUCAAAAUUUCUCAAGUGGUAGUUGAUCCAUUUAUUGCUUUGGCCUUUAUUUUCUCCCCCUUUGGCACCAAGCACCAAAACGGGAUCAAUUUUGGCCUUCUAACCCCAUUGCCUCACCAAAAUCUUCACUUAAGAGCAAAUGGCAAUAAGAGUUCAUGAGAUGAACUUGGAAUAAGUUACCCUCUCAUCGGAGUGCAGUGGAAGUCUUUCAUGGUCCAAGUCCACCUUUUCCCUUUCAAUUCUCCUUCGAGACUAAAUCAAGCAAACUCAAGCAUAUAGUUAGUCUCAAAGGGUCAAGUUGUAACACAUCUCCCCCUAAACAUGUGCAUCACUUUGCAACGGACUUGUGAGGUCCGGGGAGUGUUUGUACAACUUGAGCACCACAAUAAGCAACAAAAUGCAGAAUGAACAUGAUCAAAGGCAUAAACACAUGUAUGCUACAAUUCAAUCCAAGUUCCGUGAAUCUAAGACAUUUAGCUCACUACGCAGCCUGCAAAAGGUCUUCUCAUCUAGAGGCUUGGUAAAGAUAUCGGCUAGCUGGUUCUCGGUGCUAACAUGAAACACUUCGAUAUCUCCCUUUUGCUGGUGGUCUCUCAGAAAGUGAUGCCGGAUGUCUAUGUGCUUUGUGCGGCUGUGCUCAACAGGAUUUUCCGCCAUGCGGAUAGCACUCUCAUUAUCACAUAGGAGUGGGACUUUGCUCAGAUUGUAGCCAAAGUCCCUGAGGGUUUGCCUCAUCCAAAGUAGUUGCGCGCAACACUGUCCUGCGGCAACAUACUCGGCCUCAGCGGUGGAUAGGGCAACGGAAGUUUGUUUCUUAGAGUUCCACGACACCAGGGACCUUCCUAAAAAUUGGCACGUCCCCGAUGUACUCUUCCUAUCGACCUUACAUCCAGCAUAGUCGAAGUCUGAAUAUCCAAUUAGGUCAAAGGUAGACCCCUUGGGAUACCAGAGCCCGAAGCAAGGCGUAGCAACUAAAUAUCUAAGGAUUCGCUUCACCGCCACUAAGUGACACUCCUUAGGAUCGGAUUGAAAUCUAGCACACAUGCAUACGCUAAGCAUAAUAUCCGGUCUACUAGCACAUAAGUAAAGUAAUGACCCUAUCAUUGACCGGUAUGCUUUUUGAUCAACGGACUUACCUCCUUUGUUGAGGUCGGUGUGUCCGUCGGUCCCCAUCGGAGUCUUUGCGGGCUUGGCGUCCUUCAUCCCAAACCGCUUUAGCAGAUCUUGCGUGUACUUCGUUUGGGAGAUGAAGGUGCCGUCCUUGAGUUGCUUCACUUGGAACCCAAGGAAGUAGUUCAACUCGCCCAUCAUUGACAUCUCGAAUUUCUGCGUCAUCACCCUGCUAAACUCUUCACAAGACUUUUUAUUAGUAGAGCCAAAUAUUAUGUCAUCGACAUAAAUUUGGCACACAAACAAAUCACCAUCACAUGUCUUUGUAAAAAGAGUUGGAUCAGCUUUCCCAACCUUGAAAGCAUUAGCAAUUAAGAAAUCUCUAAGGCAUUCAUACCAUGCUCUUGGGGCUUGCUUAAGUCCAUAAAGCGCCUUAGAGAGCUUACACACGUGGUCGGGGUACCGUUCAUCCUCGAAGCCAGGGGGUUGCUCUACGUACACCUCCUCCUUGAUUGGCCCGUUGAGGAAAGCGCUCUUCACAUCCAUUUGGAACAACCUGAAAGAAUGGUGAGCGGCAUAUGCUAGCAAGAUACGAAUUGAUUCUAGCCUAGCCACAGGAGCAAAUGUCUCCUCAAAGUCCAAACCUGCGACUUGGGCAUAACCUUUUGCCACAAGUCGAGCCUUGUUCCUCGUCACCACCCCGUGCUCGUCCUGUUUGUUGCGGAACACCCACUUGGUUCCCACAACAUUUUGCUUGGGACGAGGCACCAGUGUCCAAACUUCAUUGCGCUUGAAGUUGUUGAGUUCCUCCUGCAUGGCCAAUACCCAAUCCGGAUCUAGCAAGGCCUCCUCUACCCUGAAAGGUUCACUAGCAGAGACAAAGGAGUAAUGCUCACAAAAAUUAACUAAUCGAGAUCGAGUAGUUACUCCCUUGCUAAUGUCACCCAAAAUUUGGUCGACGGGAUGAUCCCUUUGAAUCAUCGCUCGAACUUGGGUUGGAGGUGCUGGUUGUGCUUCUUCCUCCAUCACGUGAUCAUCUUGUGCUCCCCCUUGAUCACACGCCUCCUUUUGAUGAACCUGUUCAUCGUCUUGGGGUGGGGGAAGCACUGUUGUUGAGGAAGAAGGUUGAUCUCGUACAUCAUGUUCCUGUGGCCGCACUUCUCCAAUCGCCAUGGUUCGUAUAGCGGCCGUCGGAACAUCUUCUUCAUCUACAUCAUCACAAUCAACAACUUGCUCUCUUGGAGAGCCAUUAGUCUCAUCAAAUACAACGUCGCUAGAGACUUCAACCAAACCCGAUGAUUUGUUGAAGACUCUAUACGCCUUUGUAUUUGAGUCAUAACCUAAUAAAACCCCUUCUACAGCUUUAGGAGCAAAUUUAGAAUUUCUACCCUUCUUCACUAGAAUGUAGCACCUGCUCCCAAAUACACGAAAGUAAGAUACAUUGGGUUUGUUACCGGUUAGUAGCUCAUACGAAGUCUUCUUGAGGAGGCGGUGAAGGUAGACCCUGUUGAUGGCGUGACAAGCCGUGUUCACAGCUUCCGACCAGAAACGCUCGGGGGUCUUGAAUUCUCCAAGCAUCGUCCUCGCCAUAUCGAUUAGCGUCCUGUUCUUCCUCUCUACCACACCAUUUUGCUGUGGUGUGUAGGGAGCGGAGAACUCGUGCUUGAUCCCUUCCUCCUCAAGGAACUCCUCCACUUGAAGGUUCUUGAACUCGGACCCGUUGUCGCUCCUUAUCUUCUUCACCUUGAGCUCAAACUCAUUUUGAGCUCUCCUGAGGAAGCGCUUGAGGGUCCCUUGGGUUUCAGACUUAUCCUGCAAAAAGAAUACCCAAGUGAAGCGGGAAAAAUCAUCAACAAUAACUAAACCAUACUUACUUCCUCCUAUGCUCAGAUAGGCGACGGGUCCGAAGAGGUCCAUAUGUAGUAACUCCAGGGGUCUUGAAGUGGUCAUCACAUUCUUGCUGUGAUGUGCUCCUCCCACCUGUUUACCUGCUUGACAUGCUGCACAAGGUCUAUCUUUUUCGAAUUGCACGUUAGUCAAACCUAUCACGUGUUCUCCCUUUAGAAGCUUGUGAAGGUUCUUCAUCCCCACAUGUGCUAAGCGGCGAUGCCACAGCCAGCCCAUGCUAGUCUUAGCUAUUAAGCAUGCAUCUAGACCGGCCUCUUCUUUUGCAAAAUCAACUAAAUAAAGUUUGCCGUCUAAUACACCCUUAAAAGCUAGUGAACCAUCACUUCUUCUAAAGACAGACACAUCUACAUUUGUAAAUAGACAGUUAUAUCCCAUAUGACAUAAUUGACUAACAGAUAGCAAGUUAUAUCCAAGACUCUCCACUAGAAACACAUUAGAGAUAGAAUGCUCAUUGGAGAUUGCAAUUUUACCUAGCCCUUUUACCUUGCCUUGAUUCCCGUCACCGAAUAUAAUUGAAUCUUGGGAAUCCUUAUUCUUGACAUAGGAGGUGAACAUCUUCUUCUCCCCCGUCAUAUGGUUUGUGCAUCCGCUGUCGAUAAUCCAGCUUGAACCCCCGGAUGCAUAAACCUGCAAGGCAAAUUUAGGCUUGGGACUUAGGUACCCAACUCUUGUUGGGUCCUACAAGGUUAGUGCAAAUAUCCUUAGGGACCCAAAUGCAAGUUUUGUCUCCCUUGCAUUUUGCCCCUAACUUCCUAGCAACUAUCUUCCUAUCCUUUCUACAAAUAGCAAAGGAAGCAUUUAGGGCAUGAUAAAUUGUAGAAGGUCCAUGAACUUUCCUAUGAGCAUUAACAACAUUUCUUCUAGGCAGAUUAUGAACAACAUUCCUUCUACCAACAUUUCUAUCAUGCACAUAUGAAGAACUAGAAGCAAACAUAGUAUGGGAAAAAUCAUUGUAAGCAUUAUAACUCCUAGUUUGUCUUCUAUCAUUAUACAAAAAGGCAUGGUUCUUUUUAGCACUAGUAGCCAUAGGGGCCUUCCCUUUCUCCUUAGCGGGAAUGGGAGCCUUAUGGCUUGUCAAGUUCUUGGCUUCCCUUUUGUAGCCAAGUCCAUCCUUAAUUGAGGGGUGUCUACCAAUCGUGUAGGCAUCCCUUGCAAAUUUUAGCUUAUCAAAUUCGCUUUUGCUAGCCUUAAGUUGAGCAUUAAGACUAGCCACUUCAUCAUUCAAUUUAGAAAUUGAAACUAGAUGUUUACUACCAGCAUCAACAUUAAGAUCUUUACACCUAGUGCACGUUUCAACAAUUUCUACACAUGAUGUUGAUUUACUAGCUACUUCUAGUUUAGCAUUUAAGUCAACAUUAACACUCUUUAAAGUAGCAAUGUUUUCAUGACAAGAAGAUAAUUCACUAGAAAGCACUUCAUUUCUUUUAACUUCUAAAGCAUAGGAUUUUUGUGCCUCUACAAACUUAUCAUGUUCAUCAUACAACAAAUCCUCUUGCUUUUCUAAAAGCCUAUCCUUUUCAUUCAAGGCAUCAAUCAAUUCAUUGAUUUUAUCAAUUUUAUUUCUAUCCAAUCCCUUGAACAAACUAGAAUAAUCUAUUUCAUCAUCACUAGACUCAUCGUCACUAGAAGAAUCAUAAGUGACAUCAUUAUGAGUGAUUACCUUCUUCUCUCUUGCCAUGAGGCAAGUGUGACGCUCGUUGGGAAAGAGGGAUGAUUUGUUGAAUGCAGUGGCGGCGAGUCCCUCAUUGUCGGAGUCAGACGAGGAGCAGUCCGAAUCCCACUCCUUGCCAAGAUGAGCCUCGCCCUUUGCCUUCUUAUAAUUCUUCUUCUUCUCCCUCUUGUUCCCUUGGUCCUGAUCACUAUCAUUGUCGGGACAGUUAGCAAUAAAAUGACCAAGCUUACCGCAUUUGAAGCACGAAUGCUUCCCCUUGGCUUUGGUCUUGCUUGGCUGUCCCUUGCGACCUUUAAGCGUCGUCUUGAAUCUUUUGAUGAUGAGGGCCAUCUCUUCAUCAUUAAGUCCAGCCGCCUCAAUUUGUGCCACCCUGCUAGGUAGCGCCUCCUUGCUUCUUGUUGCCUUGAGAGCAAGGGGUUGAGGCUCGUUGAUCGGUCCAUUCAAGGCGUCGUCCACGUAUCUUGCCUCCUUGAUCAUCAUCCGCCCGCUUACGAAUUUUCCGAGUACCUCCUCGGGCGUCAUUUUCGUGUACCUGGGAUUCUCACGAAUAUUGUUCACGAGAUGAGGAUCAAGAACGGUAAAUGACCUUAGCAUUAGGCGGACGACGUCGUGAUCCGUCCAUUGCGUGCUUCCGUAGCUCCUUAUUUUGUUGAUAAGGGUCUUCAGCCUGUUGUAAGUUUGGGUUGGCUCUUCUCCCCUUAUCAUUGCGAAUCGUCCAAGCUCGCCCUCCACCAACUCCAUUUUAGUGAGCAUGGUGAUGUCGUUCCCCUCGUGAGAGAUUUUGAGGGUGUCCCAUAUCUGCUUGGCGUUGUCCAAGCCGCUCACCUUAUUGUACUCUUCCCUGCACAAAGAUGCUAAUAGAACAGUAGUAGCUUGUGCAUUUCUAUGGAUUUGUUCAUUUAUAAGCAUAGGGCUAUCCGAGCUAUCAAAUUUCAUUCCAUUCUCUACAAUCUCCCAUAUGCUUGGAUGGAGAGAGAAUAAGUGACUACGCAUUUUGUGACUCCAAAAUCCGUAGUCUUCCCCAUCGAAGUGUGGAGGUUUGCCAAGAGGAAUGGAAAGCAAAUGCGAAUUCGAACUAUGUGGAAUACGAGAAUAAUCAAAUGAAAAGUUUGAAUUGACCGUCUUCCUGUAGUCGUUGUCGUCGUCCUUUUGCGAAGAAGUCGACUCAUCGCUAUCGUCGUAGUAGACGAUCUCCUUGAUGCGCCUUGUCUUCUUCUUCUUCCCAUCUUUACGCUUGUGGCCCGAGCCCGAGUCAGUAGGCUUGUCAUCCUUCGGCUCGUUGACGAAGGACUCCUUUUCCUUGUCGUUGAUCACGAUUCCCUUCCCCUUAGGAUCCAUCUCUUCGGGCGAUUAGUCCCUUCUUGAAGGGAACGGCUCUGAUACCAAUUGAGAGCACCUAGAGGAGGGGUGAAUAGGUGAUCCUGUAAAACUUAAACUUAUAGCCACAAAAACUUGGUUAAUUGUUAGCACAAUAAUUGCCAAGUGGCUAGAGAGGAGUCAAAACACAAUAACCACAAGAAUUCAAUCACAGAGAUGACACGGUGGUUAUCCCGUGGUUCGGCCAAGUACAAAACUUGCCUACUCCACGUUGUGGCGUCCCAACGGACGAGAGUUGCACUCAACUCCUCUCAAGUGAUCCAAUGAUCAACUUGAAUACCACGGUGUUCUUGCUUUUCUUUUCUUAUCGCGUUUGCGAGGAAUCUCCACAACUUGGAGUCUCUCACCCUUACACUAGAAGUUCACAAAGAAGCACGGAGUAAGGGAGAGAAGCAACACACACAAAUCCACAGCAAAAUGCGCACGCACACUGCCAAGAAUCGAGCUCAAGAGACUAUCUCAAAGUUCUCACUAGAACGAAGCUCGAAUCACUUAGAAAGACAAACGAAUGCGCAAAGACUGAGUGUGGAUGAUCAAGAAUGCUCUAAGGUUGCUUGGUUGUCUUCUCCAUGCGCCUAGGGGUCUCUUUUAUAGCCCCAAGGCAGCUGGGAGCCGUUGAGAGCAAAUCUGGAAGGCCAUCCUUGCCUUCUGUCGUCGGGUGCACCGGACAGUCCGGUGCACACCGGACACUGUCCGGUGCCCGAUUUAUUUCCUUGAACAGCACAGUCGACCGUUGCCGACCGUUGCAGAUCUGGCGCACCGGACAUGUCCGGUGCACACCGGACAGUCCGAUGCCCUCUCCCGACCGUUGGCUCGGCCACGUGUCUCGCGCAGAUCGCGCGGCCGACCGUUGGCCCGGCCGACCGUUGGCUCACCGGACAGUCCGGUGCACACCGGACAGUCCGGUGAAUUAUAGCCGUACGCCGUCGGCAAUUUCCCGAGAGUGGCCUCUUCGCCCGAGGCAGCCUGGCGCACCGGACACUGUCCGGUGCACCACCGGACAGUCCGGUGCCCCAGACCGAACUGAGUCUUGGCUGUACACAGCCAAGUCCUUUUCACCUCUUUUCUUUUCUUCUUCUUUCUGUUUCUAACACUUAGACAAGUAUAUUAGUACACAAAACCAAUGUACUAAGGCUUAGAAACAUACCUUUACUUGUGAUUUGCACUUUGUUCAUCCAUGGGCAUAGAUUCACAUUUAAGCACUUGUGUUUGCACUCAAUCACCAAAAUACUUAGAAAUGGCUCAAAGGCACAUUUCCCUUUCACUUCCCCGAGGUCCUUCCCCUAAUGCAAAUAGUACCUGUGGGAAAGAAAAGGGCGGCGCGGCUUACCGGCGGCGAGAGAGGUCCGGCGAGGGGCGGGGUUGGCUCCGGGAGGUCCUGGCGGUCACAGCGGUGUACGGCUCGACGGCGGAGGUGGCCGGAAUUGUCCGGUCCACGAGCGCAGGCGGGUGAUCUCGUCGGCGGUGGGUGUUCUGGCUGAACCACGGCGAUCUAGUUCAAUCAAAUGGCACGAUGAGCUCCACGGGGUGACGUAGAGGCUAUGUGCACAAGGAAUCGAAGAAUGGGGCAGAGAUUUACCCGGUCUACGUUCACCAGCGGUCGGGCGAAGUCCGACGACCGUGGACUGGCUUCUCCGGCGAAGCAAAGUCCGAUUCCUUGCUCGGGGAGCUUCACCGAGGCGUGCACAGUCUCUUCCAAGGGUCGGGCGUGGCUGGGAAAGGCUCUGUUGGCCGGUCUACGGUGGCAGGGGCUCGGGUGGCCGCGGGCACGUCGUGCGCGGGGCAAACGCCGGUGGUUUCGGGCUCCGGUGAGGUCGAGCGUGCGCGGAGGAGUGCGGUCGACGCCUGAGGGUGAUUUAUAGGCGCAGGCGCGAGCAGGAGACGCGAGCACGGCUUGGCAUGGCGCGGGGCGCGCGGGGUCGGGCGUGGGCGUGCUCUAGCACGCCCAGAACGCGUCGAACACGUGGAGGUGUUCAUCUGCCCGUGUUCAAAAGCUUGCUGAGAUCGCAAACGUGCGAAUCUUGGCAAAAAUCCGGCGCAGACCUCUUCCUGGCACCUAUGGCUAUCUCUUGUAUGUGAGUUCCAAGGGAAGAUAAGCCCUAGGUCAGAAGAUAUGCGGACGCCAAAUCUGGCUUGUCUCCCUGCCCACUUCGCGACAAAAGUGAUGCCAAGACAUGUCAAAUGAGUUUGACUUGGGUUCAAAUUUUUCUAGGGGGUGCCUUAGGUGGUUUGGCACAUUUUUGGUAUUUAGACCAAGUGGUUUUGGUGCCAUUUACUAAGUGAACACGUCUGAUCUUUAGAUUAGGGUUAAAAAUUUGACUUAGAGAGAAUUAGAGAGCUCUAGCUCUCUCUCUAUUUAAGGAAUGGAUUUGGGGUUUCUUAAGGGGUCUUUUUGCAAUGUUUCCUCUCUAUAUUUGUAGAUUAAGAUGUUACUUAACUUUGGCCAAAGGUUAGGUCAUGAUUUGCACAUUUGCUUAAUCUCCCCCCCCUUCAACCAAGGUUUUAGGAGAUAGGGGCUCAAGAGGGGUCUAGGGUUUAUUCCCCUCUUGCCCAAGGUGAUAAUUGUACAAAAGCUUGGGUAAUGCUUUUGGUCAUUCACAUUCUUGGGUAAAACAUGGUCUCCAAAGUUUUUAUGCUCUUCUCCUCAAGUUUCUUCCACAUGUGAUCACAAUCAUUAGUGCAUAGAUGUGCCAUGGCCAUAGUAACACCUGGGGUGUUACAAUUUGCAUUGCAUUGUGGGUGUUGUUAUUAAUCUUGAUCUCUUAUUUAAUUGGGUUGGUAUCUACUUACAUUUAGUAACUGCUAAUAAAAUUUUGACCGACUUUAAAACCAAUGCUCAGCUUUAACCAUCCUCUUUGGUAAGCCUUACACUUCACAUGGGCUCCCACAUUUGGUGAGUUCAUGCACAUUAUUCCCCAUAACUUGUUGAGCAAUGAACGUAUGUGAGCUCACCCUUGCUGUACUCACAUCCCCCAGGUCAAGAACAUGUACCACAGGAUGAGGCGCAUGGAGGAUGUUGCGAUGAGAACAAGAGAGGUCUAGGUUGUCGUCUCCCAGUCAACUUUGGUUACUGGAUCGUUGUCUUCAUAUGAUGUAAUUAUUUAACUAUUUUGUACAGAACUUCUAUUAUAUAGUAAAGAUGUGACAUUCGUUUCUGUACCAUGAGUCAUCAUAUGUGUGAGACUUGUUCCUAGCACACUUGGUGAUUAUUUCAAGGCCAGUUUUUGGACCCCUAGAAUCCAGAUGUGACAUCCAUCCACAAGGCUUGGUUGCACAUGAAAAGAUAGGGAGAGAAAUGUAGACGCGGGACUAGGAGAAAAAACAUUCAAUGAGGCGUGAUUGCAUAGACAUAGAACUAGAUAGAAGUAAAGAGUUAAAGAAAAAUAAAGGGACUAAAUUUUCUUUUGCACACUUAGCAUGAAUGGAGUUGUAGUAUGUGAGAUCCCAAUUUUAAUUUUAUCCAAGAUGUAGAACAAAAUUGCGAGACUCAUCAUGGUUACGUAGGGACAAAAGUAGAUAAGAAAAAUAGCAAACAUAUAGUGGUCUACCAGAGAGGGCACAUGUGCCCUAAUUGGCCUAGAGCUUAGCGGUUCAUUAUCCUUCCACCACUGCUAGUUGACAAAGUCUGUUGUCGAGCUAGGUGGGCUAUGGUUGAAGCACAAUAGGAUAGAGUAGACCUAUUCUGUUUUUUGUUGUUUUUGGGACAUUAUGGACUUUAUGUUGAUAUUGUGAAUUUUUUUCAUGUGUUUCCUCUUGCCUACGAAGUGGAAGAUGGGUGCGUCAGAGAAGAAAGAAAGAGUGGCCAGCAUUGAUUUUACGUCAUCCCCUUGAGAACACUAAUCAAAAGAAGAAGCAACAAUAUUUAAUACAUAUACAACACUUGUAAUCCAUAUAAACAACUUUCCUUCAAAAAAUAAUAUAAAGCACAUUAUUUAUAUCAUGUGUCGGUCAACUCCACAAAGGGCAAGAAAACACUCUUAGGUUUGUAGUAUAGAACUAAGAGUGUCUACUCUCACGAUUUCUUCCCAACUUUUGCAAACUACACACUAAUCACAUGAAAUAAAGACAUAUGUGGUAACACGAACUUAUAUCAUGUACUACAACCUAUAGAUUUUUGAUUAUUAAUGCAGAUUAUAUAAUAUAGGGGUUCCCGAAGAAAUACAUAAAAAACAAGUGCAUUAAAUUUUCCUUUUCAGAUUUGGCUAACUGGUAAAAGGAGUUGGAGUAUCUGAGUUUCUAAAUUUGGCACGUCGAUGUAAAGAAGGAAUAUAAAUACGUUGGGAAAACAUUCUACAAGGCAAGGUUUAACACAAGUAGGGCUAAGAAAAAAUCAAUGAGGCUUUGGUCACAUAGUCACAAAACUUGAGACAAGAAACAUGAAGAAACCAAGGUAAUUAGUAUGAGAGUUUUCGAAAUUUGGUGUCUUGAUGUAGAAAAAAUAAAUAUAUGACAAACAUGUUUUUCUACAAGGCAUGGUAUAAUAAGUCGGAGUGAGUAAUAAAUUUCAUCAUAGAUUUAGAAGGAAGAAAUAUAUCACUAAAUAUGUUCUUUCAUAAUGCCAAGUUAAGCAGGUGGAGCCGAGAAAACAAUUCUAGCGAGGCUUGGUUGUACUAGCCCCAAACUAGAUACAACAGAGGAAAAAUGAAAAAAUGUUGGUCUAACAAAUAUGGCGCAUGAGCCUUAAGGUGGACCUAGAGGGAAGUAGAAGAAAUAAAUAUAUAACUGAAUAUAUUUUUCGCAAUGCAAGGUAAAGUGUAGAUGCGCUCUAACUAGGCUUAAAUUGCAGCGACACGUUAUCCAUCCACAAGGCUUAGUUGCACAUAGAAAAAAAGGUGAAGAGAAAAAUGUAGACGCAACAUCGGUUGAAAAACAUUCAAUGAGGCAUGAUUGCACGGACAUAGAACUAGAUAGAAGAAAAGAGUUAAAGAAAAAUAAAGGAAGUAAAUUUUCUUUUGCACACUAAGCAUGAAUGGAGUUGUAGUAUCUGAGAUCCCAAAUUUAAUUUGUUCUAAGAUGUAGAACAAAAUUGCGAGAAUCGUAAUGAUUACAUAGGGACAAAAGUAGUUAAGGAAAAUAGCAAAAAGAUAGUGGUCUACCAUAGAGGGCACAUGUUCCCUAAUUGGCCUAGAGCAUAGCGGCUCAUUAUCCUUCUACCGCUGGGGGCGGGCGGUACUCGCUGCUCUGUGAAGCCAGCCUCACGCAAUGUCCGCCACUUUAGGUGUUAGGAUGCAAAGGUGUUCGCCAAGGCACCCGAAACCCACUACACAACUUGGAAUGGGUGGUCCACAGUUUGUAGCACUAGACCCAAGCACAUGCACCACGAUUGACAUCCACACUUCCUUAUUGCCCCCGCUCAGGUUACAAGCAAUCGCUACU
rnacentral:lncRNA from 1 species